rnacentral:lncRNA from 1 species
AUGGGGCGUGGCUGCUUUAAUUGUGUUGUUGCUUAUUAUGGUGCAAUACCAGUCUGUGUUCCAUGAUAGCUGGCUUGUUUAGUAUGUUAAUUGUUACUGAGUAUGAUGUGUUUAGGUUGAAAUAUGUGAUUUGAAUAACUGGGUUUUGUGUAUAAUAUGACUAUAGUGAGUUAAAUUAUCUGUUUUUAGGGUUUGGAUUCUUGGCUUAUGAAUCUGGUCUAAUUGCAGACGUUUGAUGCUUUUGAUUACUUCUAUGGUUAUUUUGCUUCUUUUAUUUCCAUGGAAUCGAUCUUUCUUCCAAAAGAGAAGCUAUCAAACACUUUAUUAAGUUUGAAGCUAUCUAAAUCAUUCAUGAGUCAACUGAUCUGUAAUUUUUCCUGGAAAAAAUGACAGAAAAUUUUCAACUCUUUGCAUUUUCGAAGUUUGAUGAGACAGCUCUCAUGUGAUGUAGUUGAGUAAAGGCUUUUAAUUAGGGUUUUUUUUGUAGGAAUUCACACGCAUGAAUGAAAGCCAUUUCUCAACACAUUUGAGGUAUAUUUGAAUGUCAGAAGCUAUAAGACAGGGGGAAAGGAAUUACUGAAAAACCAUCACUUUCAGUUGUUUGGUUGAUGAGAAAUAGGAAUGUGACCAAGACAAAAAAAUAAUCGAAGUUCAAAGAGUGGAAGAAUUGAAUUCAAAAUAGUGUUUUUUUCUAUUUUAUUUUCUCUUCCUUCUUCGUCUCUGCUUUAACAUUCCUCAGAACCAAACACACUCCCAGAAAAUCUGUUAAGGGUUGCUGAAAUAAGUGGAUAUUGUAGGUCAUUCCCCCAAUUCAAUAAAAUAACAAAAAGCAUCCCAAUAAUUUGAGGCAUGCAAUGAUUAAUCUACCCAAAGGGUUCAAGGUUUUCAGCAACAAAAUAGCUUAGAUUUAAUCCAAAACCCAAAGUAUCAUGAUGGGUAAUAAUAAAUAAACCAAAAGAGUCCACACGCCGAUCAAACGCAAUCACACAAUGGCCACCCUCACUUGGCUGAGUCCCUUGGAUGGGUUUCUGAAGAGAGAGAGAGAGAGAGAGAGAGAGAGAGAGAGAGACCCUCAAGAGUCAUGGCCCAAGAGUAAUUUAGACCUGAAGACUUUUUCUCCCCUCAAGAGUCAUGGCCCAAGAGUAAUUUAGACCUGACAACACCAGGUAGCUAAUAAUCAAACCUACCCCUCCCAAAACUUUAAUGAUACAGUGUUUGGUAUAAGAUAACCUGCUGCUUGCCCAUGCAAUAUAGGCUACAACAUUCAUUUAAAAAAAAUCACAAAAUAAAAACCCUUUAAUUUUCAUAAGUUGAAAUACUUGAAUGUAGUAUCAAUAUCAUAAAAAGAUAAUAGUCAAAUAUCGUAAUUUUUAUCGAAAAAUAUAUAAAAUUCUAAAUAUUUUUAAAUUUACAUGUCAAAUUUGAAUUUUACAAAUUUGAGUUUCUAUUUUAUAAUUUUUCAAUAUGUGUAUAUGAAAACAUAUAUUUUUUUUUAAUCCUCUAUAACGAUCUCGAUUUUAAAUUUUAUUAUAAGAUAAGAAAUAUGUUAAAAGAAGAAGAAGAAGAUGGAUUAGUCACUUUUAUGUAUGUCUUGUUGAAGAGAAAACAAGAAAUAUACAAAACCCAUCACUUGAACUUUGUGCCACCAUGCUACAAAUCAUACCACACAGGACUUAAAUAUGAAUCAUAUUACAAAACCCAAAAGAGAAACUCAAUAGAUACCAUAAUCAAACCCAAAUUAUGUACAUUCACUUGCCUUACAAUGACAAGUAAGGCAUCCUUAUUGUCAUAUGUAGAAAGUACCGGAGUUUCUUUUGUUAAACAGAACUCCUGAGAGCUCCAAACCACUUUGAUUGAAAUACAGAUUGGUAAGAGACCAAGACAAGAAGCACCCCCACCAGGACAGCAACACCCCAAGGAAAGCUCCCAGCUCUGUGAUUGGACUCAUGAUGUGGAUUUGGAGCCUGGAAACUAGGCCUCCCAUCAGAGGAGGAGGCAAUGAGGAAGAUGAAGAGGAUGGGCAACAAGAAGAGGAAUAGCUGGAAGUUGUUGGUAGUUUGGUAUAGUUGGCCCUUGUAGCUUGUGUAAUUGGAGAGGGACCACAAGAGAAUGACAAUGGCAAAAAUGGCUAGCAAUGGAAGAGGUGGUGUGGAGAUGUUGUUGAGGGUCUGGCCUGUCCACCCAUGUUUCCACUCUGGUCCCCUUCUUUUGUGGAAAAACCACUCCAUUGGAUUCUCAAUCUGUAGCUACCUUGGUUUAUCUGCAAGAAGUAAAUGGGUUUAUGUAAGUAACGAUGGAGUGGGUUUGCUUUGAUAUGGGGUUUGGUCUUGGCAUAAAUGCUUUGAGUGUAGAAUCUAUUUGGAAGUCUUCUUUCUUUUGAAGUUAUUCUCAUCCAGUUCGAGCCGUAUUUACCAAAUUUACAAUUACAGAUUGGAGCCAGAAAUUUUCUCUAGAGGGGUACAACAAUAAUAAUAAUAAUUAGGCUCAGACAGUCACUGAUCUAACUAGGUCUUGAUCAGGCAUGGAUUCACAUCCUUUACAAUCAUAUAUGAAAGAAAACACAUACCAUUUGACUUCAUUAUCUAAAAUCAAUCUUCUUGUGCUGCUGCAUAUAACCCCAAGAAUCAUUGGCGGUAUAAGUGCCAUAUAUCCUUGCCUUCUUCCGUCUUGCUGAAAUGGAGAUGAAAAUCAAGCACAACCUAAUAGAUCAAGAGAGGAAAAAGCAAGAGCAUCCUUACAGUUUUGAUGUUUAUAGAAGGUCAGGGGGUAGGGCUAUAGUUGAUUUUGUUUGGAUAGAAUUUUAUGAAAGGGCUGCUUUCUAGUUUUAUUAGUAAAUACAAAUUUAUGCGGUACAAGAUAUGAAUAGAAUAAAUGAAUCUCAAAUAAUAUAGCAUGAGUGAUCAUUUUACGAAAAUGAGCAAUGAAAAAAACGAAGUGUUAGAGAGGAACCAUGUUCUAAGGCCCUUUUCUUAAGAACUCUCUGCUUAGAGUAAUCCUUAAUAGAUGAGUAAUCAAAAAUGAAAUUUGAGAACAAAAGUUUUAGGUACCUUCUUAUAUCUUGCCAUUCAGAAGAACAGGGUAAAGAAGAAAUCCAGCGAUGAGAAUGUGGAGAUAUAUCAAUGACAUCUAUCCUCUUCAGAUGUAAGAGCUCACCAAGUCCAUAGAUGUCCAAGACACUUCUAAAAAUCUGUAACUGAGUAAGGUUUGACAUGCCACCCUUCUCUAUAAUCAACAACUUCGUCGGUCCGUAUAAGUCAGAAAGUUGAAGGAUUUUGAGUUGAGGAAAGCCAUCUGCAGAUACUUGCAUUUCCCAUCCACGGUAUGACCACAUUCUUAAUCUUAAAGUCAACAAUUUUGGCAGCUUCUCCAAAAUCACCAUUGGGUCAUAGUCUAGCUCAGUAUCUUCUAAGGUCAGCUGUGUUAGAUUUGGUGGGAACUCGUGUAAUUGCCCUAUGGAUCUUUCCAUAUGCAGCUUAGAUAGAUGUAGCAAAGAGCUCAUGUCAAAGGAUGGAACCCCGGAGAAAUGUGAUGCCUUAAGAUACAAGGAGCGAAGAUUCUCAAGCUUAGCAAUGGAGUUUGAAAACUCGACCACUAUCGCGUCAUCCAUUUUUAUUUUCAGUUUCCGAAGGCUAGUUAAGUCACUUGUGUCAUUUUGUUGCCAAUCACUAAACCAUAUUCCGGACAGAGUUUGGAGAUUUCUUAGAUUGUCAAUCCGUAAUGGCUUGUCAUCUUCUCUAUCAUACGAGAGGAAAAGGUGUCGUAGAUUUUUCAUUUUCUCUAUCAUAGUUGGUGUUCCUUUAGAAAUACAUAUAUCCAAAGUCUGUAAACUCCUUAGCUCAUCUAAGGAGGUUGGAAAGUUUACACAGUCCUGCAAACUCCCCAAACAAGAAGGUGGACAGUUUGAAUACCUAUGCGCUGUUAAUCUCAAGUACCUUAAAUGAACUAGUUUCCCAAAUGAAUUUGGUGGCUCAUAGAUCUUUACAUUUCCCAAGUCUAACACUCUAAGUAAUUUGUAAUAUUUGUAAAUAAAAUCUAACCAUGAUAGUAUCCCAUAAUAUCGACUAUGGGGACUACGUUGGAGUAAAAAAAAGAAGAGAGACCGAAUAUAUGGGGUUGAAUGUUCUCUGGAAGCAUACCUCUCCAAGUCCAAAUAAAUACCUAGUCGACGGGAUUUGGUGAAAGGAAAAGAUGAAGUAGUUGAGGGAAGAGAAACUAUGUCCUUUUGAAUCUCAACAAAGUUUUGCUCCUUGGCUUUUUUUAUGCAUAAAUCCCGUACUAGAUCAUGAAUCCGGCAUUCUGUAACUCUCUCAUUAACACUCACUGCUACCGCUUGAACCAAGUUUCUAUUGAUUAACUCAUUCAAAUAAUCCUCAGCAGUGUCCUCCAGUCUUUGUUCAUCUUGCUGUGGAACAAAACCCUCAGCCAUCCAUAGAAGCAGUAAUGUUCUCUUGGAGAUUACCUGAUCUUCUGGAAAGAGGCCUAGAUAAAGAAAGCACGAUUUCAAGUUGUGGGGCAGAUCGAUGUAGCUUAAGCUCAAUAUUGCAUCUACUCCAUUGCGUGCGGCAAAGUGCACCCGGAGUUUGUUGAACACUUCUUCCCACAUAGUCGGCAACUGCUUUUUGGAAGACAACAAGCCUCCCAAUACAACAAUAGCCAAUGGUAAACCAGCACAUUUCUUCACCAUUUUUUCCCCAAAUUCCUUCAACUCUGGAGGACAACCGUCAGUAACAUUGUCAGGGAUUGCAGUUCUACAAAACAACUUCCAACCCUCUUCUUCCGAGAGAAGCUGCAUGUCAUGUGGAACACUUCGAGCAUCUGCUUGCAAAGCAACAUCCUUAUUUCGAGUUGUAAGAAGUAAUCUGCUGCCAUUACUCUCCUCUGGGAACACCCUUGCAAGACACUUCCAAUCGUCACUUUUCCAUAUGUCAUCCAAAACUACCAAAAAUCUUUUCUCCUCUAGGUGCUCGUGAAGUAAAUCCUCCAACUCGUUCUCCUGCAAUUUCUCUAUCUGCUUUGGGUUAUGAAGAAGUUGGUUUAGAAUUUGCUGAAAAAUAUUCCUGGGUCUACAAUCUUCAGAUACAUAAACCCAGACACGACAAGACUGAAAAUGAUCCAUAACUCUGCUAUGAUUAUAGACUUUCUUGGCAAGAGUAGUUUUGCCGAUGCCGCCCAUUCCUACUAUAGAAACCACGCGGCGCCUUGGGUCCCCCGUGGUCAGCUGCUCCACUAGCUUAUUUGCUUCUUCAUUCAGGCCCACAAUGACAUGUUUUUCGGCGCGAGGAGUGGUCCGUCUUAGAUUCUGCAGCAUCUGACUUGAAGUACUUGUUCCUACUCCAAUAUUUUUUAUUCCCAGGAUUUCUCGCCUCCUUGAGAUGUCAUGGAGGUUGGUUUGGAUCUCAUCAAUUUUCUUGCCAAGAUUAUGCAGAUACACGGGCUUUUGGAAAAUGCGCUUGACAAAGAUUUUUCUCCUCAGGGCCUCAGCCUUAAGGAUGAACAUGUCGACAACGUCCUCAGCAUCAUAAGCAACAUCUCGGAUGUCCGAAACCCAGUUACGCACUCUUGGGUCUUCCUCUUGCUUCGCAUCUGCUGCUUCUAAGAAGCAGUUGAUCGCCUUCAGAUCUCUAUGCAGCCUCUCAAUUCGUGGGCGCACCUCCUUCAAGAAAAUUGCUUCUUCCAUGAGUUGGUCACCAAUCCUGUUUACGACAAAGGAGAUUACAGCCCUUUCCAUCUUAAUCUUCUCCUUAUUACUCCCCUUAAACAGCUGAACGGAGAUGAUAAUCCUGAAUAGGAGGGGCUAGAAGCAAGAGCUUAUCGUGUUGAUCAUUCAAACACUACAGUUCUUUUGUGAUUUGGUGGAGAGGAAUGUAUUUUACGUCAUGCAUGAGCUGGACUUGAUUUCAAUUGAGCAACUACCCACAAUUGAGAGUAACAUAUCCGCCAAUGGUUUCUAGAUAUCAUUUGGUUGCUUCACUGCAAAAUAAAUUUUUCAUCCAUCAGUCUAUUUUAUCACUUCUUGUUUUCUAAAUUAUUUUUCAAAAUGUGUCAGCUAGUUAAUGUUAGAAAAAAUGUACACCAUGUUCUAUAAUCAACGGUCCCUCACAUUCGUGGUGCUAAAAAAAACAAAAACGUGAUACCUACCGAAUAUGAAAUCUGGAUCAUUGAAUAUAUGUGGUGAGAUCUUGACAAUUGAAUAAGGGUAUAAAGGAAUAAGAUCAAGAUAUAAGAAUAUAAACAAAUGAGAUUAAGGCAUUACAGGACACCGUUUGAUAAAUGAUGAUUUUUUGGUAGGUAUUGAAAAAAUACAUUUCUAUAUUUGACUAAACCCCUUCUUUUAUUCUUGUUAUCGUGUGAUAAAGAAAUGAACUUUCGUGUGAACGCAGAAGAGAUGACUUAAUUUUGAUUAACCACAUCCCAUAUAGGCUUUGGUGUUUACAUGAUGCCUAAAAAGUUGGAGGACUGAAGAUUUCUCCCAAGGCUAGUUAACUAGCUUGAGUUAUUCUGUUUCCACUCAUUCAGCGUGAAAGAGCGUGGAGACGCAAUGGCAUGUCGUCUUCUUGCCCAUCCAAGGAAAGAUGUAUUGAACCCAAAAUAAAUGAAGAUAAAAUAAGAGUAGUAGUUACAAAUUAGAAGUCAGUUUUGAGAAGAAUCUGCCUCGGUUUUCUGAAAUUGGAUAUGCAUGCCUGGAUAAUUAAAUUUAGGCUGAAAAUGUUGGAUGGCCGCAGGUUGAUGCUUGCAUGGCCAUGUCUGUUCUUGAAGCUGGCCUAUCUGAACUACAGUGUGACAUAAUUGGAUUUAGAUCCAUGGGGAGUGGUAUACCUUUAGGUUGUGUUUGGUAGGGGUAUAAGAAUGGGAAUGAAGGGGAAUCAAACAUGUGGAAGAGCGGAAUAAAAAACUAGACAAGGUGAGGUAGGUUUUAAUUCCCAUUAAAAUGAAUUUUCUAUUCCCAUUCUCAUUUGUUAGAAAUAAUCCAAAAACGGUAAUGAAUGAGAACUGGAAUGGAUUUCCCAUUCCUCCUAUUCAAGCAUACAAAGCCCAUUACUCUGAUCACAGUGCCCACAAGCAGGCUACCGCCUAUUGUACAGAGUCAUCAAGCAAAAUAAGCAGAAUUCAACAAACCCCAAUAGAGAUCAAGACAGCAACACCCGGUGAAGAAGAUGAACAGAAUGGGGAACUAUGGGAAGUGGGAACAGUUCUUUCAGCUGGUUUUAUAAUAGGGGGGAUCGAACCAAAUGACAGCAAUUGGAGUGUGCAACAAAAGAAAAGUUGAGGAAACAGAGGAAUCCAAAGAAGAGUGUGAAGGAAUCCUGAAGCUUUGUUUGAUGGCCCUGAAGAAGAGACAGAUAUUGUGCUGCUAGGACAAGACAAAAACAUAGAAAUUAAUAGGAUAACCUUCAUUAUUUAUGGCUAAAUCAACAUGGUAUUCAGAAAGAAGGAGACUAUUCCAAUUUACAUAAAUUACAAAUGGAGGACUUGAAGAUAUGCUUGCAGGUGAAACAAAAGUGACAAGCUCAAACAGUCACCAGCCUGACUAGGUCUUGACCAAGCACGGAUUCGCAUCCUUUACAAUCAUAUGUAAAAGAAAAACACCAUUUAUAACUUCAUUACCUGAAACCAGUCUUCUUGUGUUGCUGCUUAUAACCCCAGCAAUCAUCAGCAGUAUAAGUGCCAUAUACUGUCACCAUUUCCUGUCUUGCUGAAAUGGAGAUGAAAAUCAAGCACAGCACAGCCUAUUAGAUAAGGGAAAAAAAAGGAAAAAGAAGAUGAGGGAGUAAGGCUAUAGUUGAUUUUGUUUGGAUAGUCUCAUUUGGGAAAAUGAUGCCCUCUAGUUUUAUUAAUAGAAAAUGAAAAAUUAUGGAGUACAAGAGUUUAACAUCGAUUUCAUUUCAAGUGCAUUAUGAAUAGAAUAAAUGAAUAUUGAAUAAUAUAGCAAGAGUGAUCAUAUCAGUCAUAUGUACGUGGAGAAAGAACAAUGAAAAAAUGGUGUUAAACAAUGCUCUGUGGCCCAUUUUUAAGAACUCUGCCUGGAGUAAUACUAGAUGUAUGAGUGAUAAAAUAUGAGAUUAAGCACAAAAGAGCCAAGUACCUUCUUACAUCACGCCAGUCGGACGAACAGGGCAAGGAGGAAAUUCAAGGAUGAUGAUCUAGAGAUGUAGUAAUGACAUCUACCUUCUGCAGAAGUAAGAGCUUGCUAAGUCCAUUGAUGUCCAAGACGCUUUCAAAAACCUGCAACUGAGUAAGCUUUGACAUGCCACCCUUUUCUAUAUUCAACCUCCUCGUGCGGUUUAACCCAAAAAGUUGAAUUACUUUGAGUCUAGGAAAGCCAUGUGCAGAUACUUGCAUUUCCUCUCCAAGAUAUGAGUCCUUCCUUAAUCUUAGAGUCAACAAUUUUUGCAGCUUCUCCAAAAUUGCCAUAGGGUCAUAGUCCAACUCAGUCUCUUCUAAGGUUAAUUGUGUUAGACUUGGUGGGAACUGACGUGCAUUAGGUAACUGUGGUAUGCGUCCCUUUAUUUGCAGCUUAGAUAGAUGUAGCCAAGAGUUCAUGACAAAGGAUGGCAUGCCGGGGGGAUAUGCCUCAAGAUACAAGGAUCGAAGAUUCUCCAGUUUGGCAAUGGAGUUUGAGAACUCAACCAUUUCCAAGUCAAAUUUCCCUUGAAUUUUCAGUUUCCCAAGGCUAGUUAACUUACUUGUAUCAUUUUGUUGCCAAUCACUGACCCAUAUGUUAGACAGAGUUUGGAGAAGUGUCAAUUAGCAAUGGCUUGCCAUCUUGACUAUGAUAGAAGAGGAAGAGAUGUCGUAGAUUUUUCAUUUUUUGUAUCACAGUUGGCUUUUCCAAUAUAACAAUACCAAUAUCCAAAGUUUGCCACCUCCUUAAAUUACCUAAAGAGGUUGGAAGCUUUGAAAAGAACGAAUUACUCUCACGGAAUGUGAAUGGAAGCUUUAUACUCAAGUACGUUAAAUGAAUUAGUCUCCCAACUGAACUUGAUAGUCUAUUGCGAAACUCUAUACCUUCCAAGUUUAACACUAUGCAAUUUAAAAUGCCUAUAACGGAAAUGAGGUGGGAGAAAUAAUAUCAAAUUGUCAGUUUUUGGGUCGAAAGAGUGAAGGGUGCGAAGAUAUGUAGUUGAAACAUACCCCCCGAGCCAAAAUGGAUACCUUGUCGACGACAUUUGGUUGAAGGGUGAGAUGAACAAGAUGAGGGAACAUGAACUAUGUUAUUUUGAAUCUCAAACAGCUUUUGCUUUUUUGCCUUCUUUAUGCAUAAAUCCCUUACUAGAUCAUGAACCCGACAUUUUUUACUUCUCUCAUUAAUACUCACUGCUACUACUUGAAUCAAAUUUCUAUUGAUUAACUCAUUCAAAUAAUCCUCAGCAGUGUCCUCCAUUCUUUGUUCAUCUUGUUGUGGAAUAAAACCCUCUGUAAUCCAUAAAAGGAGUAAUUCUCUCUUGGGGAUGACCCAAUCUUCUGGAAAGAGGCCUAGAUAAAGAAAGCAUGAUUUCAAGUUGUGGGGCAAAUCGAUGAAACUUAAGCUCAAUAUUGCAUCUACACCAUUGCCUUCAGAGAAGGGCACCUGGAGCUUGUUGAGCACCUGUUCCCACACAGUCGGCAACUGCUUUUUGGAUGAUAACAAGCCUCCCAAUACAACAAUGGCCAAUGGCAAACCAGCACAUUUCUUCACCAUCUUCUCCCCAAAUACCUUUAACUCUGGAGGACAAUUGUCAAUAACAUUAUUGGGGAUUGCAGUUCUACAAAACAGCUUCCAACUCUCUGCUUCAGAGAGAAGUUGCAUUUCCAAGGGGACACUCUGAAUAUCUGCUUGCAAAGCAACAUCCCUAUUUCGAGUUGUAAGAAGUAAUCUACUGCCAUUGUUCUUCUUUGGAAACACAUUUUCAAGACAUUUCCAAUCUUCACUGUUCCAUAUGUCAUUCCGUGUAAAAAAAAAAAAAAAAUCAAAAUCCCCAAUCUUUAAAAACCCCUCUUCCAUUCUCAAUUGAGCCCUAAUUUCAAAAUCUUUCAAAAAGGGUCUUCAUCUUCUUCUUCUUCUCUUCUUCAUUGCAUAAGCUUCCACCACCAAGGUUGCUGAAAUUUAUUUAUGAUGAAGUCCUCCUCCCUCAUCAUUCUUUUCAACAUUGGAAAUCUCUACAUCAAUGUUUCAUUGGCGCCAUUUCUUUUCCGGAGUGGCUCAUUCACAGGUUUCUUAGCUUAAGCUAUCUUUUUCGGGAACCUUAGGUGUUCGGUUUGUCCAUCUUUCUCUCCACCAUUAGCUUAAUCUAGAUGCUUUCUUUGUGUGGAAUCCUUUCACAACAUAUUUUUUUGGGGUUUCAUUUUUGCCUUGGAUUGUUUUUGCUUUCUAGCAAUGUUAAUCCUAGGCUUUGUUUGCUCAUUGUGAGUGCCCUCUAUACAUUUUCAUGCUUGGAAUCUAUUUUCAUGGUGAUAAAGCAUUUUUUGAAAGUUUUUAAAUGAAACCAUGUGAUGAGAUUUAGGAGGAGUUUCGUAUAUCUUAUGAUGGGAGUUAGGGGGAGAUUCUUGUAUCCUAUAGUUUUUUUGGGAUGUUGAUAUGGAUACUUGGUAAUAUGUGAAUACUUGAUUUUUGAGUAUUUGACAUUUUGUUGAAAUGUGGAUGUUUGUUGAUUUGGAUGUGAGAUAUUCUGCUAAUUGAAUUGUCAUCCAUUUGUCUUUUUUCUUGGAUAGAAAGGGAGAGAUUGUGGCCCUUUGUCUCUUUCUGGGACAAAAAGGGGGAGAGACAUUGUAGUUAUUAUUUUGGUGAUUGGAUAUAUGUGGAUAUCUAUGUGUUAAUUCAUUCAAAUCUUGUGGAAGUGCCUUGGAAUAUGUACAGGUGCUACUAAUGUUUUUCUUGAGAUUUUUUUUGCAGGUAUUGUAGUACCUAGGUUGUGGUUUUGAGUGAGCGAGUGGCCUUGUAUGAGUGUUGGGUGGGGUUUACUUACUUAUACUCAUUCGUGUUGUAAAGGGUUUUGUCCCAGAAUUGCUAAAGGGGGAGAUUGUGAGUGUUUAGCUAGGUUGGCAAUUCCGGACAAAAUUCCUAAGUGUCCCCUAACUCGGCUUUCCUAUUCCUAUUCGGACUACUUGACUUUGAAGACUAAGACUUUGCUAAGAGGCCGAGGUAUGUAGUCGAGUGUAGAGUGAUUGGGUGUGAAUCAACCCGGUUUUUAAUCUUUAAAUGUGUUAGAAAGUUGGGAAAAAUGAUUUUUGGUGCAAGGCUUUCAUUCCUCUGUUUCUGGAUCGAUCCAAGUGUAGGGGUGGAUCUAUCGAACUAAUGUUUUUUUGAUCAAAUCUCGGCCAUUAGAUUAAGGGUUUCUUUUUACACUAUAAAAACCAAUCUUCUCUCAUUUUCUGGAAGAGAGACUGCUGAAAAUGUGGGGAGAGCAGCCACACUCCAAGUGUUCUUCAUUUUCUCAUUUUUGCUUUCCUAAUUUGGGGUUUUUGAUUGCAAAGAAAAUCCACUUCUCUUAAUGUUUUCCAAACUAGUUUUCAAUGGAUUUUCUUGAGCAAUAAAUGGGUUGAUUCAUUACUUCAUUCACAUCUCAAUCUUUCAUUCUAUUUGGGUUUGUGCAAAAACCCAUUUUCUUCUUGUGUGGAUUCAAGAAGAGGCCGAGAUUGAACUUGGUGCGGACUCCAAGUGUGCUUCAAAAGGAGAAGCUGAAAAUGAAGGUACUAGUCAAGUAUUCUGGGAAGGAUUGGUUGGCUUGAGCUAGGUAAAACCUUGUACUCAGUUUUUAUUCCUCAUAAUGGAGUUUUCAAUCGGUGAUAGGUCCGUGGUUUUUGAUCUCUUCGGAGGUUUUCCACGUUAAAAAUCCGGUGUUCAUUGUCUCUUUCUCUCACUCUAUAUUUUGAUUUAUUUUUGAGGAGUGUUGAAGUAUUUGCAUGUGUUUUGCAUUUAUAAAUUGUUGGGAGAGUGUUGAUGCAUACAUUAUUGCUUGCGGAUGUUUUGCUUUGUUGAAAAGUUAUUGGAAGAAAAAAUUCUUGACAUUAAGAUAGUCUAAGGUUAGGUAAUCUUUGUUGGGAGAAUUUUUAAAUUGUUUUACAACACCUAUUCACCCCCCUCUGGGUGUGGUUCAUUAUUGAGAUUCACAUUUUCAUCUUCAUUUGGUCUAAGCUAGCAAGUUGAAGGAUUUUGAGUUGAGGAAAGCCAUUUGCAGAUACUUGCAGUACUCCUUGUCUGAGUUUUGAGAUCAUCCUCAAUCUUAAAAUCAACAAUUUUGGCAGCUUCUCCAAAAUCGCCAUAGGGUCAUAGUCCAGUAUAAUCCUAUCUAAGGUCAACUGUGUUAGAUUUGGUGAGAAUUCAUGUGCUCUAGGCAAUUGCUUUAUGUUUCCCUUCAUGUGCAGCUUAGAUAGAUGGAGCCAAGAGUUCAUGACAAAAGAUGGAAUGCUACGGGGAUCUGAAUCCAAAAAACUGUAGUGACUUGAUAAUGAGUGAUAAAGACUGAAGGUAUAUGAUGAUGUCUCAAGCUGCGGGAAGGGAUCUAAUAGAUCUGAUAUGUCACGAUCAUCACGUUCAUAUUGAUUAAGAUACAAUGAGCGAAGAUUCACAUGCUUGGCAAUAGAGUUUGAGAACUGGGACACUUCCAAGUCAAAUCCCACGUUGAUUUUCAAUUUAUGAAGGUUAGGUAACUUACUCGUAUCAUUUUGUUGCCAAUCACUAAACCAUAUGCCGGAUAGAGUUUGGAGAUUUCUUAGAUUGUCAAUUCGUAAUGGCUUGCCAUCUUGUCUUUCAUACGAGAUGAAAAGGUGUUGAAGAUUUUCCAUGUUCUGCAUCAUAGUUGAUACCUUCCUAAAAUUAUUUAUAUCCAAUGUCUGCAAACUCCUUAAAUUACCUCAAUAUGUUGGAGAAUAAGUUCUAAGCAGGAAAUUUACUCUCAAAUACCUCAAAUGAAUCAGUUUCCCAAAUGCUCUCGGUAUUUCAACGAAUAAACCUUCCAAGUCUAGCACCCUAAGCAGUUUGAAAUAUUUGCAAAUAAAAUCUAAUUGUUGUAGACGGCACCAAUGACCUUUUAAUGUGAAGAAGAAGAGAGAGCAAAUGUAUGGAGUUGAAUGUUUUGUGGAAGCAUACCUCUCCAAGUCAAAAUAAAUACCCUGUCGAUGGGAUUUGGUUGAAGGAAAAGAUGAACUCACGCUCUUUUUUAUCUCAAAAAGGGUCUGCUCUUUCGCCCUUUUGAUGCAUAAAUCCCGUACUAGAUCAUGAAUUUGGCAUUUUGUUGCUCUCUCAUUAACACUCACUGUUACUACUUGAACCAAGUUUCUACUGAUUAACUCAUUCAAAUAAUCCUCAGCGGUGUCCUCCAUUCUUCGUUCAUCUUUCUGUGGGAUAAAACCCUCUGCCAUCCAUAGGAGGAGCAAUUUUCUUGUGGGGAUUAUCUGAUCUUCUGGGAAGAGGCCUAGAUAAAGAAAGCAUGAUCUCAAGUUGUGGGGCAAGUCAAUGUAGCUUAAACUCAAUACUGCAUCUACUCCUUUGUCACUGGAGAAGUGCGCCUGUAGGUUCUUGAGCACCUUUUCCCACUCAGUAGGCAAUUGCUUUUUGGAUGAUAACAAGCCUCCCAAUACAACAAUGGCCAAUGGUAAACCAGCACAUUUUUUCACCAUCCUUUCCCCGAAUUCCUUCAACUCUGGAGGACAACUCUCAGUAACAUUGUCAGGGAUUGCACUUCUACAAAACAACGUCCAACUUUCCGUGUCCGAGAGGAGUUUCACUUCGUAGGGAACGCUUUGAGCAUCUGCUAGCAAAGAAACAUCCUUAUUUCUAGUUGUAAGAAGUAAUCUACUGCCAUCACUCUCCUCUGGGAAUGCAUUAGCAAGACAUUUCCAAUCAUCACUUCCCCAUAUGUCAUCCAAAACUACCAAAAACCUUUUCUCCUUCAGGCGUUUAUGAAGGAAAUCCCCCAACUCGUUCUCCUGCAAUUUCUCUAUCUUCCUUGCUUCAUCUCCCGUUGGUGUAUAAGGAAAUUGGUUUAGAAUUUGUUGAAAGAUGUCUCUGGGUCUACAAUCUUGGGAUACAUAAACCAACGCACGACAAGACUGAAAAUGAUCCACAACUCUGCUAUGAUUAUAGAUUUUCUUGGCAAGAGUAGUUUUGCCGAUGCCGCCCAUUCCUACAAUAGAAAUCACACGGCGCCUUGGGUCUCCUUUGGUCAGCUGCUUCACAAGCUCUUUGGCUUCUUCAUUCAGGCCUACAAUGACAUGUUUUUCUGCACGAGGAGUGGUCCGUCUUAGAUUCUGCAGCAUCUGAGUUGAAGUGCUUGUUCCUUCACCAAUAUUUUUUAUUCCCAGGAUUUCCCGCCUCUUUGAGAUGUCUUGGAGGUUAGUUUGGACGUCAUCGAUUUUCUUGCCAAGGUUAUGCAGACACCUCGGCUUUUGGAAAACGCGCUUGACAAAGAUUUUUCUCCUCAGGGCCUCAGCCUUGAGGAUGAACAUGUCGACCACGUCUUCAGCAUCAUAAGCAACAUCUCGGAUGUCUGAAACCCAGUUACGCACCCUUGGGUCUUCCUCUUGCUUUGCAUCGGCUGCUUCCAAGAAGCAGUUGAUCGCCCUCAGAUCUCUAUGCAGCCUCUCAAUUCGUGGGCGCACAUCCUUCAAGAAAACUGCUUCUUCAAUGAGUUGGUCACCAAUCCUGUUUACGACAAAGGAGAUUACAGCCCUUUCCAUCUUAAUCUUCUCCUUAUUACUCCCCUUAAACAGUCGAACGGAGAUGAUAAAUCUUUAGCAGGAAUGCCAAGAAGCAAGACCUUAUCAUGUCGAUCAAGGUAUCUUCAUUGACCAAACCAUUGCAUUAUUGUGUUUUUGUUUUUUUGGUGGAAAGGACUGAGAAGAGUAUUUUAUGUAAAUGCCAGAAAUGCAUGAGCUGGACUUGAUUUUGAUCGACCAACGACCCAUCAUAUGAAGGCAAUAUUUAAUUCAGAAGUUGAAAUUCAGCUAGCAAUCAAAGAAGUCUCUCACCUUCUAUUCAUAAUUUAAAAUUUGUUCAUCCAUUAGUCUAUUUUAUCCCUUUUGGUUUUAUUUUUUAUUCUCUUUCAAAUGUGUUAGGUGUCGAAAAAAUGUACAGAAAGUUUUAUAAUUAAUGGCCUCUCACAUUCGUGGUGGUAAAAAUCAAAACAAUUUUGUGAAAGUUGUAGGUUUGCUUUGAUCCAGACUUCUCAUUAAUUAGACCAAGUCAAGCAAACACUGAAUGGAAUAUGAAAUUUGAAUAAUCUUGGCUUCUGCAAUUUGAAUGAACAACAGGGGAAGCCAAAACGGUGCAUCAUUUUGGCAGUGCCCACAUGCAUGCUUCCACCUUGCUGUACAGACUUGUCAAGCGGUAUAAGCAGACAGAUAAUUUUGAUUCAACAAUGUACCCAAUGGAUACCAAGACAGCAACAAUUCCAAUGAAGAAGAUGAAUAGAGUGGGGCACUACGGGCACGUUUGAUCAACUGGGGUUGAAAUAUAGGGAACUAAGUGAGAGAAAUUGGCAUGUGCAGCAUGAGAAAAGUGGAGGAAACAGAGGAAUCCAUAGAAGAGGAUGGAGGAAUCCUGAAACUUUGUUUGAUGCCUCUAAAGAAGAAACAGAUAUUGUGUUGCUAGGUGAAGAUAGAAACAUAGAAAUUAAUCAGAUGCCCUUAAUUAUGUAGAUGAAAAUCAGCAUGGAAUCUGGAAGUAAAUGGAUGUAAAUCACAGGGAUGGAUCCAAAUCACAGAAAAAUACAAGAACAAUAAACAAAUUAUACACUGAGACCUGUUGAAAAAACUAUUAUGAUUGAGUUGAUAACAAUCUGCAUCCUAUGCAUACAAUCUCAGUCUCUAAUACUUACUCAUUAAAGUUCUGACAGUCACUGACCUAAAAGGUCUUGAUCAGGCAUGGAUUUUACAAUCACAUACAAAAGAAAACCCAAUUUGUAUAUUCAUUAUCUAAUGACAAUCUUCUUGUACUGCGGCUUAUAACCCGGACAAUCAUCAAUGGUAAUAGUGUCAUAUCUUGAGACCUAAUUUCCUGAGAUGGAUAUGAAAAUCAAGAACAACAUCUUAGCCCAAGAAAAAAAAUUGAGCAGAUGCUUACAGUUUUGAUGUGUACAGAGUGGGUCAGGAGUAGGGUUAUAAUUUGGAAAUAGAAAUGUAUUAGUCACAUUUACCUUUUGUAGAUGUGAGAGCUCAUUAAGCUUAACGAUUUCCACGAAACUUGCAAAAAUCUGCAAUUAAGCUUUGACAUGCCACCUUUCUGUAUAUUCAUCCUCUUCCAUACUGUUAAGUUAGAAGGAUAGAGAAUUUUUAGUUGAGAAAAGCCAUUUGCAGAUACUUGCUUUUCCAUCUCCAUGGUAUGAGUCCUUAAUCUGAGAGCUAGUCAACGAUUUUGGCAGCUUCUACAAAAUUGUCAUAGAGCACUCGUUGUAAGAGACCAUUCAUUUUUAUGCAUGUCCUGUCGUACACAAAACAAGAAAUGUACAAGAGCCACCAUUUUAAUUUGUGCCACCAUGCUGCCCAUUCAUGCCACACAGACAUAUGAAUCAUAAUACAAAACCCCAAAAACAAGAAACUCGAUCGAUACAAUAAUCAAAGCAAAAAUAUGCACAUUCUCUUGCCUUAGAAUGACGAGUAAGACAUCCUUAUAUUCAUAUAUAGAAAUUAUCAGAGUUUCUUUAACAAAGAAGAGCUCCAAACCACUUUGAUUGAAAUGCAGAUUGGUAAGAGACCAACACAAGAAGCACACCCCUCAUUAGGAUAGUAACACCCCAAGGAAAGCUCCCAGCUCUGUGAUUGGACUCAUGCUGUGGAUGUGGAAGCUGAAAACUAAGCCCCUCGUUGGUGGAGAAGGAAGCCAUGAAGAAGAUGAAGACCAAUUCAUUGUAGCUUGGUGUAACUGGGCCUUGUAGCUUGUGUAAAACCAAUUCAUUGGUUUCUCAAUCCCUGAUCCCCUUCUCUUGUGGAAAAACCACUCUAUUGUUUUUUCAGUCUCUACCUUAGUUCAUCUGCAAGAAGUAAAUAGGCUUAUUACGCAUGAAUUGAAAUUUCGAAUUUUACGGAUAUAUCGGUACUUCGAUUUUAUGGAUAUAUCGGAAAUAUCGGUGAAUAUUUUUUCACAAAUAUUAGUAAAACAAAAAUUAUUUAAAAUUCAUAUGAAUGUUUGGAAAAACUAAAAAAAAAUGAUAAAAUAAGUAAAAAUACAUAUUUUAAAGUUAUCUUGUAAAUAUAAUUGACAUAUAUAUAAUCAAGAAGAAAAACAUCGUAAACAGAUAUAUCGAUAGAUUCGAUAUUUGAAUUUUAAAAAUAAUAAAAAUAAAUUUUGAAAGUGUAUAAAGUUAGAAUUGAGUUAAUAAAUAUUUGAUCUUAUUGAAUAAAAAUAAUUUAUACAUAAAUACAAUACAUAUGACAUUGUAAUAGUGUUUAGUAUUAAAAGGAAGAUUGAUGUGGUUCCAUUAUAUUGUUAGAUAAAGGGAGCUUAUUUUGUUGAAGACGAUAUUUAUUUUAAAAAUUUUAAAAUACUUUUAUUAAAACAUAUUUUAUUAUAUUUUAAUUAAAAAAUUAAAUUAAUUUAUAUAAAAUAUUUUAUUUGAGAUUUAAUUUUUUAAAUUUUAUUAAAGAUAUGUAACAUUAAUUUAUUUAAAUAAUUAAAAUUAUUAAUAAUUUAUUUUAUUAAAUUAAUUUUAAUUUAUAAAAUACAUAAAAAUCAAAAUUUCAAUCCAUGAUUAGUGAUUUAAUCAAAAUAAAGUUGGAUAAUUAAUAAUUAUUUAUAUAGUGGGAGGAAAAUUGUUCUCAUGAUUUGUUUAUUUAUUUAUUUUUUUUAUCUCUACUAAAUCUAAAAAUCAAAUGGGCCACCCUCUUCUCUCACACUCACUCGGGCUGUCGGGCAUCAAGAAGCCCUUUUCUGAAGACGAGAGAAUCCCUAAAAAAGCCCUAUUUUCCUCUGCCACUCUCAAUCCUCGCAGGUACUAAUCUAAUCAUGUUAUUAUUUAUUUUUUUGCAACCCCCGUUUGAUUCCCAAGAAAAUCCAUCCCCCAUUCGAUUUCCGGGAAAAUUCAUCCUCGUUUGAUUUCCGAGAAAAUCCAUGCAAAACCCCCAAGGAAAACCAAAAAAAUUGCUUUUCUUUUGCUCCCUGUGUUUUCUGGAUCUGUUUUAGGGGUCUUUUUGCUGUUGUGCCAUUGGAUUUCAAUUUCACGAACCCUAAAUACACGAUUUUUGAGCCAGGCUGAAAAACACAACCUUUGCCUGCAAAUACCGGCGAUAUUUUCGGCCAUUUUUUGAAAUCCUCCUCCGGCUGCUUCACGCGUCAGCUCCACUCACGAUUUAUCGGUUCUAAGCCGAUAUUUCGUCUAUAUAUCGCCGAUUUUGCCGAUUUCUCGCCGAUUUUUCACCGAUAUUCCUUUCGAUUGAUAAUCGGUGUUGAAUUUCGUUUCGAGGCGGCCCGAUAUCCGAUAUAUCGGUGAAAUAUCGCCGAUAAAAUCAGAUUUUGCAAUCCAUGUAUGCAAGUGAUCAUGGAGUGGGUUUGCUUGAUUAUAUUAGGUUAGGUUUUGGCAUAAAUGCAUUGAGUAUAGAAUCUAUUUGAAAGUCUUAUAUCUUUUCAAGUUCUGCACGUCCAAAUUGUCGUUACCAAUUUUACAAUUAACAGAGUCAGAGUCAUGAUAACGAAAAAAAAAAAAAAAAAAUUAUAAAAUCAUUUUCAGUAAAUAAGAAUUGAUUAUACUUCUUAUCUUUAAAUUUAUCAUUGUUGUAGACUAAUCAAUACAAAUAAUUGGUUCCAAAUGUGGGAUUUGUUACCAAAACUAUAUGAUUACAUGAAAAUCUUUUGCCUCUUUAUAAGAGUAAUUUUAGUGGAUAAGAUCCUUAACAGGGAGUUCAACUUCUGACAUCCCCUGCAUAACGUAAUAGGACUGAUUCAAACUUCACAAUUCAAUAGAUGGACCAUUUCGGGCUUGGCCGUAGAAAACCCGCACUCGUUGCUAUUCAUAAGAAUAGAUAAAUGCAUACAAUCUUGGUAGCAAAUUAUUACAAUAAUAGGAACAGAAAAGCACACGCUUUGCUAGGUCUUAAUCACUUAUCAACUCACAUAAUUUACAGUAAUAUACAAAAGAAUUAUACAAAUUUCCAUGGAACCAAACACACUAUGCAUAAACAAUUUUCUCGUACUGCUGCAUAGGCCUCAGCAAUCAUCUGUGAUGAAAGUGAAUUGCACCCUUAUUCGAUCCUGUGUGCCUGAAAUGAAAUGAAAAAUCAAGCACAGCUAGUCAGCUCAAUAAUAGCAACAAUCAUCAUUACAAUUUCUAACAGAGAUUGAUUGGCUGAUGUUCUGGCUUUUUGUUUUUUGUUUUUAUCUUUAUUGCUUUUUUUUUUUUUUUAAUCUUUUUUUCUGUGAACAUUAUAUGGUUCUUUGUAUCAUGUGUACAUGGCCAAGAAUUACGGGGUUGGGUCCAAAUCAAGAACAAAUCAAGAAUACAUGUUGUACAAACAAUCUAGACUAAUGCAAACAAUCUCAAUCUCUAAUUCUAAUAAUAAGCUCAGACAGUCACUGACCCGACUAGGUCUUGAUCAGGUAUGGAUUCACCAAUCUUCUUGUGCUACUGCUUACAACCCCAGCAAUCAUCAGCGGUAAAAAUGCCAUAUAAUUUCGCCUUCUUCUGUCUCGCUGAAAAUGGAGAUGAAAAUCAAGCACAACCCAUUAGAGUGAGAGAGAGAGAGAAAUGUUAUUAAAUGAUUUUGUUCUGAUAGAAUCUUAUUUAGGAAAAGGCUGCUCUCUAGUUUUAUUAGAAAAUGAAAAAUUAUGCAGUACAAGAGUUCAACAUGGAUUUCAUUUUAAAUGCAUUAUGAAUAGAAUAAAUGAAUAUAGAAUAAUAUAGCAUGAGUAAUCAUAUCAGUCAUAUGUGGAAAUAAGCAAUGAAGAAAAGUGUUACAGAGGAACCAUGUUCUAGGGCUCCUUUUUUUAAGAACUCUGUACCUCGACUAAUCUUGAAUGUAUGAGUAAUCAAAAAUGAAAUUUGAGCAUAAAUGAGUUAGGUACCUUCUAAUUUUAUGCCAUUCAGAAGCAUAUGGCAAGGAAGAAAUCCAACGAUGACAUGCAUUGACAUCUACCUUCCUCAGAUGUAAGAGCUCACCAAGUCCAUUGAUGUUGAAGUCACAUCCAAAAAUCUGCAAGUGAGUAAGUUUUGGCAUGCCACCCUUAUUUAUAAUCAACAACCUUGGUGAUUCUCGUAAGCCAGAAAGUUGAAGGAUUUUGAGUUGAGGAAAGCCAUUUGCAGAUACUUGCAUUUCCUCUUCAAGGUAUUUGGCCCCGAAUCUUAAUCUGAAAAUCAACAAUUUUGGCAGCUUCUCCAAAAUCAUCAUGUGGCCAUAGUUUAGUUUAGCACGUUCCAAGGUCAAUUGUGUUAAACUUGGCGGGAACUCAUGUGCUUCAGGUAACAUCGGUAUGUAUCCUGCCCUCAGCAGCUUAGAUAGAUGAAGCCAAGAAUUCAUGACAAAGCAUGGAAUAAUGUUGGUAGGUGAUACUACCGUAAGAUACAAGGAGCAAAGAUUCGCAAGCUUAGCAAUGGAGUUUGAAAACUCGACCACUAUCUUACCAUCCGCAACUAUUUUCAAUUUUCGAAGGCUAGUGAACUCACUUGUGUCAUUUCGUUGCCAAUCACUAAUAUAUAUGGAUUGCGGAGGGUUUUAUUCCACAACAAGAUGAACAGAGAAUGGAGGACACCGCUGAGGAUUAUUUGAAUGAGUUAAUCAAUAGAAACUUGGUUCAAGUGGUGUCAGUGAGUGUUAAUGAGAGAGUUACACGAUGUCGGAUUCAUGAUCUAGUACGGGAUUUAUGCAUAAAAAAGGCGAUUGGCUAUUAAGCUCAAUAUUGCAUCUACUCCAUUGCUUUCUGCGAAGUGCGCCCGGAGUUUGUUGAACACUUCUUCCCACAUAGUCGGCAACUGCUUUUUGGAUGACAACAAGCCUCCCAAUACAACAAUAGCCAAUGGUAAACCAGCACAUUUCUUCACCAUCUUUUCCCCAAGUUCCUUUAACUCUGGAGGACAAAUCUCGGUAAAAUUGCCAGGGAUUGCACUUCUACAAAACAACUUCCAACUCUCUGCUUCUGAGAGAAGUUGCACUUCGUAGGGAACACUUUGAGCAUCUGCUUGCAAAGCAACAUCGUUCUUUCUAGUUGUAAGAAGUAAUCUGCUGCCAUUGCUCUCCUUUGGGAACGCCUUUGCAAGACGUUCCCAAUCGUCACUUUCCCAUACGUCAUCCAAAACUACCAAAAAUCUUUGCUCCUUCAGAAGCUCGUGAAGGAAAUCCCCGAACUCGUGCUCUUGCAUUUUCUCUAUCUUCCUUGCUUCAUCUCCAGUUGGGUUAUAGGGAAUUUGGUUUAGGAUAUUCUGGAAAACGUCUCUGGGUCUACAAUCUUGGGAUACAUAAGCCCAGGCACGACAAAACCGAAAAUGAUCCAUGACUCGGCUAUCGUUGUAGACUUUUUUGGCUAGAGUAGUUUUGCCUAUGCCACCCAUUCCUACCAUAGAAACGGCACGGCGUCUUUCAUCCCCUUUCACAAGCUCCUCCACGAGCUUAUCAGUGUCUUCCUUGAGGCCCACAAUAAUCUCUUCUUUUACAAGAGGAGAGAUAUAUCUUAGCUUUUGUAGCCUCUGACCUGCUUGGCUAAUUGCUUCUCCAAUGCUAUUGAUUCCGUACGUUUCCCGACUCUUCGAGAUGUCCUGGAUCUUAAUUUGGAUGGCUUCAAUUUCCUUGCCAACCUUACAAGAACUCACCAGCUUUUUGAACAUGCGGCAGGGGAAGAACUUUGUCCUUCCAGACUCUACAUUGAAGAUAAAGGCAUCUAUAGCGUCCUCAGCAUCAUAAGCAACAUCCCGGAUCUCAGAAACCCAGUGGCGCACCCUCUCAUCUUCUUGCUGCUUUGCAUCCGCAUCUUUCAAGAAGCAUUGCAUCCGCUUCAGCUCUCUCUGCAUCCGAUCGACUUGCUCAUGCACCCCUUUCAAGAAAAUUGCUUUUUGAAGGAGUGCGUCGCCAAUUCUUUCGACAGCGAAGGAAACUGCAGACUCGGCCAUGAAAAUAGAUUUGAUACUCUCAAAGGAACAGUAGCUUAUGUUUUGUCAAAGUUUUGGUGCCAAACCCCAGAUUACACUUUCCCCUUACACUGCAAUUUAGCCUCCUCGAUUUGUUGUUAGGGAGCCAAUUGCUUUCCUCGUCCGUAAGAUUGAUACCAAUCCUUCAGUUGUUUCUCAUCUCUUUGUGCUUUCCUUCUGCUAGUAUCAAAACUAAAACCUAAAGGUGUGCUUCGUCUCUUUAAAAAAGAAAAAGGAGCCUCAGCUUGAGUUUAAGAACAUCUAAUUUUUGGCCCUUGGAAGGAAAGAAUCUAGGACUAGUCCAUUAAUUUUCACUUGUCUCUUUAAUGCAGAUUCCUUGGCUCUAGCAAGCAUCAUGCCAUCAAACUGCCCUGUAUUGGUUUAGUUUCCACCCCGAAAAAUAUAACUCAUGAAUCCUCUCCUGGGAGGCUAAAAAAAUACUGGAAGAAUGAUAAAAAUCGCAAUACAGCUGGCUUAAUUUUGCAUGUCUUCUCUAACAUACGAGUCUUUUCUUAAUUUUUGAGAGUUAACAAUUUUGAUAGCUUCACCAAAAUGGCUAUGGUGUUGCAGUGCAGGCCAUAUCCUUCUAAUGUCAACGGUAUGAAAUUCUUGAGCUUGGCAUUGGACUCUGAGAACUCGGCCAACUCACUUGACCAUCCAAGCCUCUCAUCAGAUUAAUUGUGAUUAAGACUUUAUGCAUCUCUUUGUUGUUAUCAACUCAAUUCCAAUUCACAUUGGAGGUACAGUUGUUUUUGUCUUCUUUUGUGGAGUGACUAAUUCUACUAAUUGAUCAUGCUUGACUAGUCUGUGUGACUAAUUCUACUAAUUGGUGCAACUGGGCCUUGUAGCUUGUGUAAAACCAUUUCAUUGGUUUCUAAAUCCCUGAUCCCCUUCUCUUGUGGAAAAACCACUCCAUUGUUUUCUCAGUCUCUACCUUAGUUCAUCUGCAAUAAGUAAAUGGGCUUAUGUAAGUGAUCAUGGAGUGGGUUUGCUUGAUUAUAUUAGGUUAGGUUUUGGCAUACAUGCAUUAAGUAUAGAAUCUAUUUGAAAGUCUUAUAUCUUUUCAAGUUCUCCUCGUCCAAAUUGUCGUUACCAAUUUUACAAUUAACAGUCAUGAUAACGAAAAAAAUAUAUAUAAAAUCAUUUUCAGUAAAUAAGAAUUGAUUAUACUUCUUAUCACUAAAUUUAUCAUUUUUGUAGACUAAUAAGUACAAAUAAUUGGUUCCAAAUGUGGGAUUUGUUACCAAAACUAUAUGAUUACAUGAAAAUCUUUUGCCUCUUUAUAAGAGUAAUUUUAGUGGAUAAGAAUCUUAACUGGGAGUUCAACUUCUGAUAUCCCCUGCAUAUCGCAAUAGGACUGAUUCAAGCUUCACAAUUCAAUAGAUGGAUCAUUUUGGUCUUGGCCAUAGAAAAUCCGCUCUCAUUGCUAUUCAUAAGAAUAGAUAAAUGCAUACAAUCUCAGUAACAAAUUAUUACAAUAACAGGAACAGAAAAACACACACUUUGAUAGGUCUUAAUCACUUAUCAACUCGCAUAAUUUACAGUAAUAUACAAAAGAAUUAUACAAAUUUUCAUGCAACCAAACACACCAUGCACAAACAAUUUUCUCAUAUUGCUGCAUAGGCCUCAGCAAUCAUCUGUAAUGAAAGUGAAUUGCACCCUUAUUCAAUCCAGUGUGCCUGACAUGAAAUGAAAAAUCAAGCAAAGCUAGUCAGCUCAAUAAUAGCAAUCAUCAUUACAUUUUUGAACAGAGAUUGAUCAACUAAUGUUCUGGCUUUUUUUUUUUUAAUUUUUUUUUAUCUUUUUUCUGUGAACACUAUAUGGUUCUUUGUAUCAUGUGUACAUGACCAAGAAUUACAGGGUUGGGUCCAAAUCAAGAACAAAUCAAGAAUACAUGUUGUACAAACAAUCUAGACUAAUGCAAACAAUCUCAAUCUCUAAUUCUAAUAAUAAGCUCAGACAGUCACUGACCCGACUAGGUCUUGAUCAGGUAUGGAUUCACCAAUCUUCUUGUGCUACUGCUUAUAACCCCAGCAAUCAUCAACGGUAAAAAUGCCAUAUAAUGUGGCCUUCUUUUCCCUCUUCUGUCUUGCUGAAAUGGAGAUGAAAAUCAAGCACAACCCAUUAGAGUAAGAGAGAGAGAGCGAGUGAGAGAGAGAGAGAGAGAGAGAGAGAGAGAGAGAGAGAGAGAGAGAAAUGUUAUUAAAUAAUUUUGUUCCGAUAGAAUCUUAUUUAGGAAAAGGCUGGUCUCUAGUUUUAUUAGAAAAUGAAAAAUUAUGCAGUACAAGAGUUCAACAUAGAUUUCAUUUUAAAUGCAUUAUGAAUAGAAUAAAUGAAUAUAGAAUAAUAUUGCAUUUGUAAUCAUAUCAGUCAUAUGUGGAAAUAAGCAAUGAAGAAAAGUGUUACAGAGGAACCAUGUUCUAGGGCCCCUUUUUUUAAGAACUCUGUGACUCAACUAAUCAAAUGUAUGAGUAAUCAAAAAUGAUAUUUGAGCAUAAAAGAGUUAGUUACCUUCUAAUUUUAUGCCAUUCAGAAGGAUAUGGCAAGGAAGAAAUCCAACGAUGAUAUGCAACAUUGACAUCUACCUUCCUUAGAUGUAAGAGCUCACCAAGUCCAUCGAUGUUGAAGUAACAUUCAAAAAUCUGCAAGUGAGUAAGUUUUGGCAUGCCACCCUUAUUUAUAAUCAACAACCUUGGUGAUGUUCGUAAGCCAGAAAGUUGAAGGAUUUUGAGUUGAGGAAAGCCAUCUGCAGAUACUUGCAUUUCCUCUUCAAGGUAUUUGGACAUUCUUCUUAAUCUGAAAAUCAACAAUUUUGGCAACUUCUCUAAAAUCAUCAUAUGGCCAUGGCCUAGCCUAAUAUUUUCCAACGUCAAUUGUGUUAAACUUGGCGGGAACUCAUCUGCUUUAGGUAACAUCGGUAUUGAUCCUUUCAACAGCAACUUAGAUAGAUGAAGCCAAGAAUUCAUGACAAAGCAUGGAAUAAAGUUAGGUGAUACUGCCUCAAGAUACAAGGAGCGAAGAUUCGCAAGCUUAGCAAUGGAGUUUGAAAACUCAGCCACUGUCACAUCAUCCACUUCUAUUUUCAAUUUUCGAAGGCUAGUGAACUCGCUUGUGUCAUUUUGUUGCCAAUCACUAAAAUAUAUGCCUGAGAGAGUUUGAAGAUUUCUCAGGGUAUCAAUUUGUAAUGGUUUGCCAACUUUUUUAUAAUACGAGAGGAAAAGGUAUCGUAGAUUUUCCAUUUUUUGUAUCAGAAUUGGUACUUCUGUGGAAAAUUCUACACCCAGAGUUUGUAAACCUUUUAACUUACCUAAGAAGCUCAAAAGGUAUGGGUCAUUGAAAUUUUCAACCCUCUUUAAUGUCAAGUAUCUUAAAUGAACUAGUUUCCCAAGUGAAUUUGGUUGGCUUAUGAUACCUACUGCUUCCAAGUCCAACACUCUAAGCAAUUUGAAAUACUUAUAAAUAAAAUUUGAGGAUAGAGGUCGGUCUCCAAAAAAGAGGAGAGAACGAACGUAUGAAGUUGAAUUUUGUUUGGAAGCAUACCUCUUGAAGUCUAAAUAGAUACCUAGUCGACGGGAUUUGGUUGAAGGGAGAGAUGAACUAGUUGAGGAAGGAGAAACUAUGUCAUUUUUAAUCUCAAAAAAGUUUUGCUCCUUCGCCUUUUUUAUGCAUAAAUCCCGUACUAGAUCAUGAAUCCGACAUCGUGUGACUCUCUCAUUAACACUCACUGACACCACUUGAACCAAGUUUCUGUUGAUUAACUGAUUCAAAUAAUCCUCAGCGGUGUCCUCCAGUCUCUGUUCAUCUUGUUGUGUAAUAAAACCCUCCGCAAUCCAUAGAAGGAGUAAACGUCUCUUGGAGAUAACCUUAUCUUCUGGAAAGAGGCCUAGAUAAAGAAAGCAGGAUUUCAAGUUGUGGGGCAGAUCGAUGUAGCUUAAGCUCAAUAUUGCAUCUACUCCAUUGCUUACUGCGAAGUGCGCCCGGAGUUUGUUGAACACUUCUUCCCACACAGUCAGUAACUGCGUUCUGGAUGAUAGCAAGCCUCCCAAUACAACAAUAGCCAAUGGUAAACCAGCGCAUUUCUUCACCAUCUUUUCCCCAAGUUCCUUUAACUCUGGAGGACAACUCUCGGUAACAUUGCCAGGGAUUGCACUUCUACAAAACAACUUCCAACUCUCUUCUUCGGAGAGAAGUUUCACUUCGUAGGGAACACUUUGAGCAUCUGCUUGCAAAGCAACAUUCUUGUUUCUAGUUGUAAGAAGUAAUCUGCUGCCAUUGUUCUCCUCUGGGAACGCCUUUGCAAGGCAUUUCCAAUCGUCACUUUCCCAUAUGUCAUCCAAAACUACCAAAAAUCUUUUCUCCUUCAGACGCUCGUGAAGGAAAUCCCCGAACUCGUGCUCUUGCAUUUUCUCUAUCUUCUUUGCUUCAUCUUCAUUUGGUUUAUAGGGAAUUUGGUUUAGAAUAUUCUGGAAAACGUCUCUGGGUCUACAAUCUUGGGAUACAUAAGCCCAGGCACGACAAAACCGAAAAUAACCCAUGACUUGGCUAUCGUUGUAGACUUUUUUGGCAAGAGUAGUUUUGCCUAUGCCGCCCAUUCCUACUAUAGAAACGGCACGGCGUCUUUCAUCCCCUUUCACAAGCUGCUCCACGAGCUUAUCAGUGUCUUCCUUGAGGCCCACAAUAAUCUCUUCUUUUACAAGAGGAGAGAUAUAUCUUAGCUUUUGUAGCCUCUGACCUGCUUGACUAGUUGCUUCUCCAAUGCUAUUGAUUCCGUACGUUUCCCGACUCUUCGAGAUGUCCUGGAUCUUAAUUUGGAUGGCUUCAAUUUCCUUGCCAACCUUACAAGAACUCACCAGCUUUUUGAACAUGCGGCAGGGGAAGAACUUUGUCCUUCCAGACUCUACAUUGAAGAUAAAGGCAUCUAUAGCGUCCUCAGCAUCAUAAGCAACAUCCUGGAUCUCAGAAACCCAGUGGCGCACCCUCUCAUCUUCUUGCUGCUUUGCAUCCGCAUCUUUCAAGAAGCAUUGCAUCCGCUUCAGCUCUCUCUGCAUCCGAUCGACUUGCUCAUGCACCCCUUUCAAGAAAAUUGCUUUUUGAAGGAGUGCGUCACCAAUCCUUUCGACAGCGAAGGAAACUGCAGACUCGGCCAUGAAAAUAGAUUUGAUACUCUCAAAGGAACAGUAGCUUAUGUUUUGUCAAAGUUUUGGUGCCAAACCCCAGAUUACACUUUCCCCUUACACUGCAAUUUAGCCUCCUCGAUUUGUUGUUAGGGAGCCAAUUGCUUUCCUCGUCCGUAAGAUUGAUACCAAUCCUUCAGUUGUUUCUCAUCUCUUUGUGCUUUCCUUCUGCUAGUAUCAAAACUAAAACCUAAAGGUGUGCUUCGUCUCUUUAAAAAAGAAAAAGGAGCCUCAGCUUGAGUUUAAGAACAUCUAAUUUUUGGCCCUUGGAAGGAAAGAAUCUAGGACUAGUCCAUUAAUUUUCACUUGUCUCUUUAAUGCAGAUUCCUUGGCUCUAGCAAGCAUCAUGCCAUCAAACUGCCCUGUAUUGGUUUAGUUUCCACCCCGAAAAAUAUAACUCAUGAAUCCUCUCCUGGGAGGCUAAAAAAAUACUGGAAGAAUGAUAAAAAUCGCAAUACAGCUGGCUCAAUUUUGCAUGUCUUCUCUAACAUACGAGUCUUUUCUUAAUUUUUGAGAGUUAACAAUUUUGAUAGCUUCACCAAAAUUGCUAUGGUGUUGCAGUGCAGGCCAUAUCCUUCUAAUGUCAACGGUAUGAGAUUCUUGAGCUCGGCAUUGGAGUCUGAGAACUUGGCCAACUCACUUGACCAUCCAAGCCUCUCAUCAGAUUAAUUGUGAUUAAGACUUUAUGCAUCUCUUUGUUGUUAUCAACUCAAUUCCAAUUCACAUUGGAGGUACAGUUGUUUUUGUCUUCUUUUGUGGAGUGACUAAUUCUACUAAUUGAUCAUGCUUGACUAGUCUGUGUGAAUGGCAUAGUAUGGCAUAGUUCAUUUUCGUGAAUUCAGAACAUGUAUGAUGUAAGUGAGUUGGGUUCGGAAAGUUAUUCAAUUAAUCUGUUCCAUGAAUAUAACAGAAUUCUCUGCAGAUUAGCAAUUCAUGUUAUAAAUUUCACUGUCAAACGCAUUAGAACAGCUUUUCCAUUAUGUAUCAGAACUAGAAGUGAAGGGAGAUGAAUUACAGGGCUGGAUCUAAAUCACACCAAAAUACAAGAACAAUAAACAAUAAACAAAUCAUACACUGUCACAUGCUGUAAAAACAAUUAUAAUUGAGUUGAUGACAAUCUGCAUCGAAUACAAUCUCUGUCACAAAUAAUUAUUCUAAUAACAAGUUCAGACAGUCGCUGACCUGACAAGGUCUUGAUAAGGCAUGCAUUUUCACUUCCAAAUAUAAUAGAAAACAGAGUCUGUAUAUUCAUUAUAUGAUCUUCUUGUACUGUUGCUUGUAACCCCAACACGCAUCAAGUGCCAUCUCCUGAGACCAAAUUCAGGCGUCCUGAAAUGGAUAUAAAAAUCAAGAGCAACAUAUACUAGAGUAUUAGGCCAAGAAAAAAGAAAAGAGUAGAUCCUUAAAAUUUUGAUUUUUAUAGAGGGUCAGUGAGUAGGGUUAUUGUUGAUUUUGUUUGGAUAGAAUCUCAUGUGGGAAAAAGGCUACUCUCUAGUUUUAUUACAAAAUUAAUAAAAAAGAUAUGCAGUAUAGGAGUUCAAUAUGGAUUUCGUUAUGAAGGGAUUUCCAAUAAUAUAAUUGGUCAUAUGUGGAAAAAGUGCCAUGAAAAAAAUAGCAAGUGUUAAGAGCAAUUAACCAUCCUCUAGGACCCGUUUUUAGAAGUUGAUGUAUGACAGUAUGAGCGAGGAAAAAUGAAAUUGAGCAUAAAAGAGUUGGGUACCUUUCUGCAUAACGCCAAUUGGGUGCACCAAGGCAAGGAAGAAAUCCAGCUAGGAUGAUAUGGAUGUGAAUCAAUGAAAUCUGCCUUCUGCAGAUGGAAGAGCUCAACAAGUCCAUCAUGUCCAAGACACUUUCAAAAAUCUGCAAGUGAGUUAGCUUUGACAUGCCACCCUUCUCUAUAAUCAACCUCUUCCAGUUGCCUAAACUAGAAAGUUGGAGAACUUCGAGUUGAGGAAAGCCACUUGUAGAUACUUGCAUUUUCUUUCCAAGAUAUGAGUCCUCCCUUAAUUUUAGAGUCCUCAAUUUUGGCAGCUUCUCCAAAAUCACCAUAGGUCAUGUUCCAACCCGGGUCCUUUCCAAGGUCAAUUGUGUUAGAUUUGGCAGAAAUUCAUGUGGAUUGCAUAAUUGCCUUAUGGGCGUGUUUAUGUUUAGCUUGGAUACCUUGAGCCAAGAGUUCAUGACACAUAAUGAAAUAUUGGAGAAAUCAAUUGCCAAAAGAUACAAGGAGCGAAGAUUCUCUAGCUUAGCAAUGGAGUUUGAGAACUCAGGCACUUCUAAGGCAAAUUCCCCCUGUAGUUUUAAUUUUUGAAGGCUAGUUAGCUUACUUGUAUCAUUUUGGUGCCAAUCACUAAACCAUAUGCUGGACAGAGUUUGGAGAUUACUUAAGAGUGUUAAUUCACAAAGGCAUUCCAUCUUGUCUUUCAUAUAGGAGGAAAAGGUGUUGUAGAUUUUCCAUUUUCAGUAUCAUUGUUGGUACUUCCACAACCCAAUCGAUAUCCAAUGUCUGCAAACUUCUUAAAUUGCCCAAGGAGCUUGGAAGAUAAAGGAAGGACCUCGGAUGUAAUCUUAAGUAUCUUAAAUGAAUCAAUUUCCCAAUUGAACUUGGCAGGCCUAUCUCUUUUUGUGCUUUCAAGUCUCACACUCUAAGCAAUUUGAAAUACUUGUAAACAAAAUCUAGUUGUAUUAUACUAGAGUAUUCAUAUUUUAAUUUGAAAAGAGGAAAGUGCGAAUGUAUGGAGUUGAAUGUUCCAUGGAAGCGUACCUCUUCAAGUCGAAAUAAAUACCUUGUUGACAGGGUUUGGUUGAAAGAAGAAAUUAACUAGUUGAGGGAGGAGAAACUAUGUUAAUAUCAAAAAAGUUUUCCUCAUUCGCCUUUUUUAUGGACAAAUCCCGUACUAUAUCAUGAAUCCUGAAUUUUUUAAUUUUCUCAAUGGUACUGACCGUUACAACUUGAACCAAGUUUCUAUCAAUUAACUCUUAAGGUAAUCAUCAGCCAUGUCCUCCAAUUCUUUGUCUAUCUUUUGUGGAACAAAACCCUCUGCCAUCCAUAGGAGUAAUUUCCUUGUGGGGAUCACCUGGUCUUCUGGGAGGAGGCCUAGAUAAAGAAAGCAUGAUCUCUAGUUGUGGGGCAGCUCAAUGUAGCUUAAACUCAAUAUUGCAUCUACUCCUUUGUCUCUGGAGAAGUGUGCCUGUAAGUUGUUGAGCACAUUUUCCCAUUCAGUCGGUGAUUGAUUUUUGGACGAUAACAAGCCUCCCAAUACAACAAUGGCCAAUGGUAAACCAACACAUUUCUUCACCAUCUUCUCCCCAUAUUCCUUUAACUCUGGAGGACAACUCCCAGUAUCAUUGUCAGGGAUUGCAGUUCUACAAAACAACUUCCAACACUCUGCUUCACAGAGAAGUGGCAUGCAUUUCAUAGGGAACACUCUGAAUAUUUGCUUGCAAAGCAACAUCCCUAUUUCAAGUUGUAAGAAGUAAUCUACUGCCAUUGCUUUCCUUUGGGAAGACGUUUGUGAGAAAUUUCCAAUCUUCAACGUUCCAUAGGUCAUCCAAAACUACCAAGUAUGUUCUUUUGUGAACACACGAUUUCAUUCAUAUGCUGAUAUAUAAAUAUUACAAUUUUAGGCACAUUACUAUUGAGUCAAUACCAAACCCAACUAACACAUCUAGCUUUUUCAAAAACAAAUUCCACAAAAUACGGAUUUUCACACCUUUACAACUAAUCCUACUGUUAACAAAAGAUACAAAAGAUUUCUUAAAGUAUCUAUAAAAUUCUCAAAUUCUAACACUUCUCCUUGAGAAUUUUCUUAGAGACUCCAAGCCUUGAUCUUAGCUCUUCGAACUUGGCUUUGGAAAGUGCCUUAGUUAAUAUGUCAGCAAUCUGAUUUUCUGAGCAACAAUGCACCAUAUUGACUUCACCAUUCUUCUCAGCUUCUCUAAUUGCAUGAAACUUCACAUUUAUGUGUUUGGUUCUUCCAUGCUGCACAGGGUUUUUUGUAAUAGCAAUGGUUGACUUGUUGUCAACCCAAAUUACAGUAGCAUCUACUUGGCUUUGCCCCAAAUCACUCAGCAGUUUCCUUAGCUAAAUAGCUUGGUUUGCAGUUGCUGCUGUAGAAAUAUACUCAGCUUCUGCUGAGGAUUGAGCCACGACCUCUUGUUUUUUUGAAUUCUAUGAAAAAACUCCACUACCAAACGAGAAAGCAUAACCAGAAGUGCUUUUGGAAUCAUCUAAACUUCCUACCCAGUCACUGUCUGCAUAUCCUUGGAGUUCUUUACUUUCUUUCUUAACAAACCACAAACCAUAGUCAAAAGUACCUCUAAUGCACCUUAGAACUCUCUUAGCUACCCCAAAAUGAAUUUUACUAGGUGAGUGCAUAAACCUUGAGAGUAGGCUUGCUGAGAACAUUAAACUUGGCCUUGUAGCAGAUAAGUAGAGCAGACUACCUAUUAGGCUUCUGUAAACAGAGGCAUCUGCUUUGAUGUUAACUUCAUUAUUUGAUAAUUUCUCAUUCACAACCAAAGGAGUUGCUACAGAUUUGGAUCUUUCCAUAUGAAACUUCUUCAAAACCUUCAUAGCAUACUUCUGUUGUGAGAUGAAGAUUCCAGCUUCACAUUGGUGAAUUUUGAUGCCCAACAAAUAUUUCAUCUCACCCAAAUUGGACAUUUCAAACUCACUUUCCAUCUGCAUCAUGAAUUGCUUCAAGAUUUUUGAAUUACAACCUGUAACCAGCAAGUCAUCUACAUACAAAGAGACAAUAAGCUGAACUUCUUCUUGAACCUUCAACACAUAUAGAGUGGCUUCACUUUCACUUCUUUUAAAUCCUUGCUGCAGUAGAUAGGCAUCAAUUCUACUAUACCAAGCUCUUGGUGCUUGUUUCAAGCCAUAGAGAGCUUUGCGGAGCUUGUAAACUUUGUCUUCACAACCUGAAACUUGAAAUCCUUCUGGUUGCUCAACAUAAAUAUCUUCUUCAAGCACACCAUUUAGAAAGGCAGACUUCACAUCAAGAUGAUGAAUUUUCCAGCCCAUCUUUGCAGCUAAAGCCACCAGAAGCCUUAUAGUAUCAUGCCUAGCCACUGGAGCAAAAGUAUUUGAAAAAUCAACACCAUACUCUUGAGAAUAGCCCUUUACAACCAAUUUGGCCUUAAGUUUGUUUACAGAAUGAUUUGAGUUAUAUUUGAUUCUGAAAACCCACUUAACUCCAAUUAUCUUUUGAUUUUUGGGUCUAUCAACCAGCUCCCAAGUUCCAUUUUUCUUUAUCAUUUUUAGCUCAUCCUCCAUUGCAACUCUCCACCCAUUUUGUUUAGCAGCUUCAUCAUAACAUGUAGGCUCCUGUAAUGCUACAUCACAUCACUCAUAUAUUUCAUCAAGUAACCUUGUUCCUCUUACUGGAACAUCAUCUAAGUUAUCAGCACCAACUUCAUCUUCAGUUUCUUCUGGAAUUUGGGGAAUGGUUACUCCGAUUUGAUCAACAUCUUCUACUUCUAUCUCAUUUUUCUCCCAGUUCCAUACUGCCGCUUCAUCAACUUUGAUGUCCCUGCUAACCAUUAUUUUUUUUGUUUUCAAAUUGAAAACUCUAUAGCCCUUGGAGGUUGAGCUAUAUCCCAGGAAGAUUCCCAUUUCAGCUUUGUAGUCCAACUUCUCUCUUUUCACAUCUGGCACAUGAGUGUAACACAAACUCCCAAAUACUUUCAAGUGCUCCACAGCUGGUUUAACUCCAUACCAAGCCUCAAAUGAAGUUUUAUUCUUCAUAGCUUUGGUUGGAAGUCUGUUCAACAAAUACACAGCUGUGUUAACAGCUUCUGUCUAGAAACACUUGGGCAUUUUCUUUUCAAAUAGCAGACACCUUGUCAUCUCCAUAAUGGUUCUAUUCUUCCUCUCACUCACUCCAUUUUGUUGAGGGGAGUAAGUGACAGUCAACUAAUGUACAAUUCCAACUUCAACACAAAACCUGUCAAACUUGUCUGAUGUAUAUUCAGUCCCAUUAUCUGAUCUUAUUACCUUAAUGCUGCAAUUUGCUUGAUUUUCUACCAAGGCCUUGAAAUUCUGAAACACACUAGCCACUUUUGAUUUUUGCUUCAUAAAGAAAACCUAACACAUCCUUGUUUUAUCAUCUAUGAACAGGAUGAAAUACCUGUUUCCAUUCAGCGAGGGUGUCUUCAUUGGUCUACACACAUCAGUAUGGAUCAAUUGCAACCUUUCUGAAGCUCUCUAGGCCUUGUUUACAGGAAAUGACAAUCUACUUUGCUUCCCAAAUUGACAGACUUGACACACAUUUUUUUCAUCACAAAUGACAGGUAGGCCUUGUGUUAAGCCUUUCUGAUGCAAGUGUUUAAGUGCAGCAUAAUGAAAAUGGCCAAAUCUCUUGUGCCACAACACAGACUCAUCAACAACAGUGGUAUAGGCAUGCAAAUUAGUCUCUUUCCACUUAAUUGGAAAGCUUUUGUCUCUCAUUUUCACAGUCAUCAACUUACAACCAACAUUAUCAACAACGGUGCAGGACAUUUUUUGAAAAUGCAAAGAAUAAUUCUUCUCUAGCAUUUGACCCACACUUAAUAAGCUUUGACUAAUUUCAGGCACAAACAGCACAUAUGAGAUAUAUUUAAUAUCUGUUGGAGUCUCAACAGCAACAACUCCCUUGCCCUUGACAUCAACCAAAUCUCCAUUUCCAAUCUUCACUUUCGACUUAUAUGACUGAUCCAACUCCUUGAAAUAACUCAAUUCAGGAGUCAUUUGGUUUGUACAACCAUUGUCAAUAAGCUAAGUUUCUGUAUAGCUACUCGUUGCAUGACUUGUAAUAAUAAACAAUUGCUCUUGUUGUUGUUGAUUUUCAGCCAUUUGUGCUUGUUGUCCUUGCUCCCCUUGCUGAUCAUUUUUAUUCUUGCAUACCUUCUCUACAUGACCAAAUUGCUUGCAUGAUCUACAUUGUACACUAGGCUUAUACCAACAAAAAUUCUCUGAAUGACUCUAUUUCUUGCAGUGAGGACAUGGAGGAUAUCUCUUCUUGCCACCACUUUUCCUUCCUUGGCCCUCAUUCUUCUCUUUAUCUUUUUUUCUCACCAGAUUGCUUUUUAUCUCUGCCUUGAGAAGCUUUUCUUUUUUGCAGUGCAAGAAAAGCUUCUUCAUUGCUUUCUUCCUGUCUCAUUGAUCUCCUCUGUUCUUGAGCUUGAAAAGCAUGAACAAGCUCAGCCAAGGAAAUUUUGGUUAAAUCCUUUGAGUUUUCAAGUGAAGAGAUCUUGGACUCAAAUCUUUCAGGCAAGCUCACUAGAACUUUCUCUACAACCCUUUGGUUUGUUAGUUCCUCACCAAGAAGCCGGAUUUUGUUAACAACUUCCAUGAGCUUGUCUACAUAUUCUUUGAUGAACUCAUUGUCUUUCAUCCUCAAAACUUCAAAUUGCCUCUUCAGAUUCAGAAUCUGCAUUUGCCUAGUUCUGUCACUCCCCAAAUACAUCUCCUUGAGCUUGUCCCAUGCCUCUUUUGGUGUUUCGCAAGCCAUAAUCCUUGUGAAAAUUGGUUCUGAGACAGCAGCAUGGAUGUAAGAUAAAGCUCUUGGAGUUUUAGCUUCUUCUUCUUCAUGAGCCCCGAUUUGAUUGAGGGUUGGAUUGUUUCCCAAAGGCUCUAUUUGUCUUUCAGUUUCAACCCACUGCCACAAACCAAGACCUCUCAGGUAAGCUUUCAUCUUAACAGCCCAAACUUGAUAGUUUUCACCAUUGAAAACUGGGGUUGAAAGAGCAGACGUAUUGUUGGAAGCCAUGAGGGUUUUUAGAGAAAGCCUUGCUGGUGGUUUUUUUUUUUCCACUCAUAGGUCCUAUUAAGAUCUUUUUGGUGCUCUGAUACCAUGCGAACACACAAUUUCAUUCAUAUGCUGAUAUAUAAAUAUUACAAUUUUAGGCACAUUACUGUUGAGUCAAUACCAAACCGAACUAACAUCUAGCUUUUUCAAAAACAAAUUCAACAAAAUACGGAUCUUCACACCUUUACAACUAAUCCUACUGUUAACAAAAGAUACAAAAUAUUUCUUAAAGUAUCUAUAAAAUUCUCAAAUUCUAACAUCUUUCCUUCAAUUGGUCAUAAAGGAAAUCCCCCAACUCAUUUUCUUGCAAUCCCUCUAUCCUCUCUGCUUCUUCUUUAGUUAGUUUAGAAACUUGGUUUAUAAUCCGCUGAAAUAUGUCUCUCGGUUUGCAGUCUAGCGGUGCAUAAACUCAUGCUCUAUUAUCUUGAAAACGAUGAACAACUCUGCUAUCAUUAUAGACUUUUUUGGCAAGAGUUGUUUUGCCUAUGCUGCCCAUUCCUACUAUAGAAACGGCACGGCUCCUUUCAUCCCCUUCCACAAGCUGCAUCACUACAUUCUCUGUCUCUUCCUUUAGGCCCACAACAACCUCUUCUAUGACACGAGGAGAGGCAUAUCUUAGUCUCUGGAGCCUCAACUUGCUUUACUGCUAGUUGCUUCUCCAAUGCUUUUGAUUCCAUAAGUUUCCCGACUCUUUGAGAUGUCCUAGAUCUUAAUUUGGAUGGCUUCAAUUGCCUCGCCAACCUUAUAAGGACUCACCAGCUUUUUGAACAUGCGCCAGGGGAAGAACUUUGUCCUUCAAGACUCUUCAUUGAAGAUGAAAACAUCUAUAGUGUCCUCAGCAUCAUAAGUGUUAGAGCUUGGCAACCUGAAUUCUUUUUUUGUCCAACUUGAAAAGUUUGCCAUGCGACAUAUGUGAUGAAGAAAAAUUAUGGAUUUUUUGCCCUGGCAAUAUGGACUUCAUUUAUUUAUGCAUUAGCUGCUUGAUUCUCUCCCCUUUUGUACUAAUUUUUGACAUAAUUGAUUUUCUUUUCCUCUACCCCUAAUUUUUCCCAUUUAGGAUUUUCCACAUAAAUUUGUGUGUCCUUAUGUUCUUGUUUUUUCGUAACAAUAAGCAAGAUCCCAGAUCUCGGAAACCCAGUUGCGCAUCCUCUCAUCUUCUUGCUGCCUUGCAUCUGCAUCUUUCAAGAAGAAUAGCAUCCACUUAACUCUGGAGGACAACUCUCAGGGUCAUCUCCUGGGAAUGCAGUCCUACAAAACAGCCUCCAGCUCUCGUUUGCAGAAAGAAGUUGAAUUGUAUGCUGAACACUUAGGGGAUCAGCAUGCAGAGCAACAUCCUUAUUUCGAGUUGUGAGAAGUAACCUGCUGCCAUUUCUCUCCCUAGGAAACGCAUUUGGAACAUAUUUCCAAUCUUCACUCUUCCAUAAAUCAUCAAAAACUACGAAGUAUCUUUUCUCCUUCAGAUAGUCAUGGAGGAAAUCCCGCAGCUCAUCCUCUUGCAAUUUCUCGGUCCUCUCCGCCUCACAUUCACUUGACAAAGAAAUUUGGUUUAUAAUUCUCUGAAAAAUGUCUCUGGGUUUACAGUCUAGAGACACAUAUACCCAAGCUCGACAAUACUGAAAAUGAUUCACCACUCUUCUAUCGUUAUAGACUUUCUUGGCAAGAGUAGUUUUGCCUAUCCCUCCCAUUCCCACAAUUGAAACCACAGUUCGCCUUUGGUCCUUUCUCAGCAGCCGCUCCACUAGCUGAAUUGUAUCAUUCUGGAGGCCGACGAUACCCUGAUCCUCUAUUCGAGGAGAUGAUUGCCUGAGCUUCAUCAGCAUCUGACUUGCGCUGUUGGUUGCUUCCCCAAUAUUUGUGAUUCCAUAGGGAGAAAUUCAAGCUAUUGCAUUCUAAAUUUACUUAAAACAUAUUAUGCUUUGAUAAGAACGUAUAUUUUCUUAUUGUAUGAAUACAAUCUCGUUUCUUGCAGUGGACAUAUUAUAAAAGUAAUUAUAAUCGAGUCCAUGGCAGCCUAAACAAAUACACAGGCUCAGGCACUCAUCAUUUUAACCAUAUGAUCACAAUCAUAAUAUCAAAUAUUCCAACACUAUCUUCUCGAUCGGCAAUCAUUUGCUGCAAUAGCGCCAGACAUCCUCAUCUCUUUCUGAAAACCUGUAGUGAGAAAGGAGGGGAGAAAAUGAAAUGGAAUGAAAAGAUCUAAUUACACUCCUUGCAAUUUCAAAGGAGUUCAUUUUUUUCUCUUUUAUUUGUCUGUAAUCUUCUACCCAAAUAAAUGUUAGUGUUUCGAAUUCAAGGAGGGGAACUAGGCCUCAAUGCUUAUAGCAGGAAAAAAAAUGUUGUAGAAUGAGGGAAUCCGUGAAACAAUUUGUUACCCUUGUGGACAUUUUUGGUAGGAAGAAUCAAAAGAGUGUAUCCAGUUAGGAGAAUUUGGAAAUCCACCAACCACAUUUAUCUGCCAUAGGGAUGUAGGAGCUCAUUAAGUCCAUAGAUGAACCAUAAAUCCUUAUAAACUCUCAACUGAGAAAGCCUAGGCCUGCCACCCUUCUCAUAGACCACCCUCAUAUUAGAUCAUCAUGAGUUUGGCAUUCUCUAACCCUCCCAUUAACGCUCAUUCUCACUACUCGAACAAGUUUCUGUUUAUUAACUCAUUUAGAUAAUCUUCAGCUACAGCCUCCAUUCUUUGUUGAUCUUGUUGUAUAACAAAACCCUCUGCAAUCCAUAGUAAGAGUAAUUUUCUUGUGGAUACUGCUUGGUCUUUUGGGAAGAGGCCUAGAUGAAGAAAGCAUGAUUUUAGGUAGGGGGGUGAAUCCAUGUAGCUUAGGCUUAACAUGGCAUCUACCACCUCUUUGCCCCUUGAAAGAUGCAUACCAAUGUAAUUGAGCAUCUUUGCCCACUCAGUAGGUAACUUAUUCCUUGACAACAGGCCUCCCAAUACAACAAUGGCAUCUGGUAAACCAGUACAUUUCCUCACCAUCUCUUCACCAAGCUCCCUCAACUCUAGAGGACAACUUUGAGUGACACUAUCGAAAAAUGUGGUCCUACAGGACAAUUCCGGACUCUCAUUGCUUAAAAGAAGUUCCAUUUCAUCGGAAACACUUUGACCGUUGCAAAGCAACAUCCUUAUUUGGAGUUGUCAACACUUUGAAAUUUGGCCUAUGCCAGCCAGUCCCAAAAGACAAGUCGUCAUCAGAGACAUUCCAAGCGUGGAAUGCAAAGCAAUGAACAACUUUACUAUCAUGAUAAACUUGUUCGGCAAGAGUAGUUUGGCCUAUGCCAGCCAUUCCCAUAAUACCCUGUUUUUCUACAGGAGGAUUAGAUUUUCUUAGUUUCCACAGCCUCUCAGUUGCAUUAGUUCCUACUCCAAUAUUAUUCAUCCCAUACGCUUCUCUACUUCUUGAGAUGUCUUUUGUUUUAAUUUGGAUUGCUUUGUCUCUGUAUUCAAUGAUAGUGACCGACGAAUUGGUAUUGGGUAACAUCAACAAACCAGCGAUAGAGAACAGGAGAUAGGGUUAUUUCAUUGGAACCCCAAGAUAUUUCCAACCAUUAAUUGAAGAAAUGCCCGAAGGAUGUGCCGUUCCGUCCACAAUCAUGUGAUUGACAGUGCAACCAAUAAAGAUGCAAUCAAGGAGCUCAGUCACUUGCACUGCGAGCAACUGCUCUGAAACGCCACUGCAGUUCUGAGUUCCAUUGUGUAGGAAAAAUGAAUGGACAAUCGGAGGAGCGUAGGAAGGCUCAAGGAUUUCGACCACAGUGACGCAUAGAUAAACUGAGCUCUGGCUCCAUUGCAGUUGAUGAAGAAACAAAUGGUAUUGUGGUCGUUUUCCAAGGCGGCCGUCUGAGUGGGUUGAACAAGUCUAGAGUGCGAGAAAGGGGGGUUUUCAAAUGAGCUAUGAUACUAUGGUCCUGAGGUUGGGGUGUAGGCUGGAGAAAGAUAAGACCUUAAUUUUUGGAUGGGACUAAGGAGAAGAACUGGAGUUCCUAUGGAGUAAACCCAAUCCUCUUAGUUGACUGGUUCGGACUCUCAGGUCUACGGUAUCUUCAGCAUCAGAAGCAGCAUUUUGAAUUUCAUAAACACAUUUGUGCACUCCAGCAUUAUCUUCUUGCCUUGUAUCUGCAUCAUUUAGGAUACACUGCAUCCGCAUUAGCUCAGCCCUCAAACGUACAACUUGUUGGUGCACUCCUUCGAAGGAAACAGCAUUUUGAAUGAUGAAGUCACCCAACCUUUCAGCUGCAAAGAAAACUACAGACUCUACCAUCCUAAUUUGCUCUCUGGCCCCACCUUAAAUGGAUGCGAAAAAGCAAGAGCUGAUACUCAAAAAACACAGAAAACCUCGCGAUCCACUCCACCCAAUGCUAAGGAACUGUAUCAUACAUGGGAAACUCUGUAGUCCAAAGUUUUAUGUUUGUCCUUCUGUUUUUUGUUUUUUAAUCAUACCUUGUAUUAUAUGGAUACACCACCACCUAGGCACACUGAUUCUAAUUCAACAGUCCCUUAAAGAAAAUCAAAAGAUACCUUAAUCAAAGUAUCACCACCUAGGCAGCAAUGCCCCAAGCAGAGCUCUCUGUUCGGUGAAUGGAGUUCAUGUUCUGGAUAGAAUGGGCUAUUCACUUUUUUUAGAUUGUCUUUUUUGUAAAGAUAAAUUCACUUUUUGACAUUGAAAAGUUUUACACAGAACUCAUUUUCCAAAGGUUAAGUUCACUUCUUUACCGAUGAACUUGUAUUUUUCAUUUUUAUACUAGUUUCUUUUUUUUAGAAGACAAGUUCUAUUAAUGGAUUGAUUUUUUAAAAAAUAACAUCACCCUGCAAAAAGCCCAAACCUACCACUGUCAAACCAAUAGCAAUAACACUUUUGCAUGCCAAGCAAAGCCUUCAAAUACAUCAUCCUUAGUAUGACCAUCACUGAAAGUAGACAUUGCUAACUAAAAUACAUGAGAUUUUAAUAGCAUGGCCUUAUGUUUCCUUUCAAUCACUCCAUCAUGGAAUCAAGCAUGAGGUAGAAGCCCCUGGAAAAUCUGCUGCAGCAUAAUCUUCAGGUUAUCGAACAUGUUUGGCAUGCUCAAAUUAUCUGUUUGCAAAGAUCAAACAUACAUUAUAAACAAUGACAAUAGACAAAAAAGAGAGCCAACAAGUUUUAGCCUUUCACUUGUCAUACAUGUAGUGAUUUUGGCCACGAGGAUGUCUUGGAUAGUUGAGAAAUCUGGCUAAUUUUUCAACUGCUUGCCUGGAGCUUUCUGUUGUUUGACCUGUUGCAACACAGAUCUGAGUAUCACAUGGCCAACUUUUAGGUACCUAAACUAAACAUCCAUAUAUGUACAAAGUUGUAGCAAGGAUCUCAGCAUUAGUUCAUAUAUAAUGAAAAAAAUUUCACCAGACUGGCAAUUUUAAUUUUUCAAUUGGUUUAUGCGUUUAGAGUAAAUCAUAAGAAGUAAUAUAUGUUUGUUAAGAAACUGAAAACUAUAGAAGUAAUUGAUUUAAUAAAAGCUGAAGUUAUUUAAUUUGGCUAAAAAAAAAAACUUGUUUUGUUGAAUCUAAUAAUAGGUUAUGAAGUGGGAUUCAUUAGCUAAAGAGAAAUUUCAGUGAAAAGAUCUUGGUCUUCUCUCUGGCAUCUCUAAUUGUUAUGAAGAAGAACAAUGAAUAAUACUUCCGUGAGUGACUAGGCUGAAUUGGUAGAAAUCACAUCCACGUAAAGGAACAAAAACAUGCAUUUAUACACCCCAACAAUCACCAAGGGUAAAAGUGAAUUCCAGACUUCCAAGCUUACCUUUUUCGCGGUAAAUUCUAACUCCAAUCUUAGAGGUACUGAAAUGAAUAGAAAAAUCAAACAAAGCAUGUUAGCGGAAUAAAAAGAACAAUAAAAAAAUUGAAAAAAAAAAUCAUCCUUACAAUGUUGAAGAGAGAUAAUUUGAGUUUUUUUAACUUUCCACUGUAUAUUUAAAAUUAAAGUUCUAGUUAGUUCAAAAGCAAUGGAGUUGGGUAACCAUUUAAUGGUACUGCUAUUUUCCUAGUAUGGAUUGAAUAUAUAUAGAAAAAUAUUUGCAUCUUUUUUAUUUUAUUUUUCAAAUAUAUAUUGGUUCUGCACAUGCAUUUAAAACCUAUCAAAUGCGCAAAAGUGAUGAAAUUGAAAAAACAUGUGAGAGAAAUAGCGAUGCGUAGGGCUCAAUGUGUCUACAAAGAAAGAUGAAGUACGGUUAUUAGGCCACUAGAUGGAUUCGUUUCAAUAGAAGAAAAUGUUGAUUUCCAAAGAAAAUACAAAAUCCUAACAUGUGUUUCAUUUUCAAGUAUGCUAUAAAUUAAAUAAAUUAAUAUUAAAAAAAUGUAGCAAGAGUAACUAUAUUGGUCUUAUAAGUUAAUUCAAGAAGUGACAAGUAGUAAAAAUUGAUAGUUCAAGGGAUCUAAGUAGAUAGAUGAAUGUAGGUACCUUGUACUAUGCCAAGGAUGAGGUACACCAUUCGAAAAGAGCGACUUCGCGAUUCUCAUGUUAAGAAAUGAUCCACCCAUAAUGUUUAGCUCCACUAGAUUUAGAAGCCCAUUAAAUCCUAAGAUCUUCACCUUAUCACGAAUUUGUAAUUGCAUAAGCCAUGGCAAUGCACCUUGCCCUAUAUUCAACUUGGUCAAUUCUUUUAACUCUGAAAGUUGAAGUAUUUUGAGUUGAGGAAACCCAUUUGCAGACACUUGCAUUUUCUUUCCAAGGUAUGUGUUUGCCCUUAAUCUAAGAAUCAACAAUUUUGGUUGCUUCUCUAAAAUAGGCAUAGGAUCACAACCUAGCCUAGAUGCUUCCAUUGUCAAUUGUGUAAGAUUUGGUGAGAAUUCAACGGUUUCAGGCAAUUUUUGCAUGUGUCCCUUUAUGUCCAACUUAGAAAGAUGGAGGCAAGAGUUUAUGGCAAGGGGUGGAAUGUUAGACUCAUCUGAUGCCUUAAGGUACAAGGAUUUAAGACUAGGUAGCUUGGCAAUGGAGUUUGAAAACACAACCCCUUCUACCUCACAUCUUCCUUCUAAUUUCAAUUUCUCAAGACAAGUCAAGUUGCUUGAAUCAUUCUUGAUCCAUUGGUUGAAGGUUAUGCAAGAUAGAAUUUCAAGAUUUUGCAAUGUAUCAAUUUGCAGUGGAACAUCUUCCUCUUGCCCCUCAAUAUAAAGAUACCUCAUGUUUUUCAUCUUCCAUAUCACAUUUGGCACUUCUUUAAGAUUGUUUAUAUCCAAAGUCUGCAAACUCUUUAGGUUGCCUAUAGAUGGUGGAAGCAUUUUUAGACCAUUAUGCCUUAAUCCCAAGUACCUUAAAUGAAUCAGUUCCCCAAUUAUACUUGGUAGGCAUUCAAUUUCUAAACCUUCCAAAUCCAACACUCUAAGCACUUUGAAGCAUUUGGCAAUGAAAUCUAGUUGUGAUGCUCUACAAUUUUUCCCCAGAUUGAAAAAUAAGAGAGUGCGAAGAUAUGGAGUUAAAUGUUCAAUGGAAGCAUACCUCUCAAAUUCAGAAUAAAUACUUCGUCGACGGGAUUUAGAUGAAAAGAGAGAUAAACUGGUGGAGGGGGAUAGAGGAUCUGCGAUAUUAGUUCCAAUGAAGUUUUGCUCUUUUGCCUUUUCAAUGGCCAACUCUCAUACAAGGUCAUGAACCCGACAUUUCGUAACCCUUGCAUUAACACUCAUUCUCACUACUUGAAUCAAAUUUCUAUUGAUUAACUCAUUCAAGUAAACCUCAGCCAUGUCUUUCAUUCUUCGUUCAUUUUGUUCUGGCACAAAACCCUCAGCAGUCCAUAAAAGGAGCAGUUUUCUCGAGGAGAUCACAUAAUCUUCUGGGAAGAGGCUUAAAUGAAGAAAGCACGGUUUCAAGUAAUGGGGCAAGUCGAUGUAGCUCAGGUUUAGCAUUGCCAUUACUCCCAUUUGGCCUUCUUUAGCAAGGUAUGCACUAAUGUUAUCGUGCACCUUCUUCCAUUCUGUAUGUGACAUAUUUCUUGACAGCAAACCCCCCAAUACAACGAUGGCCAAUGGCAAGCCAUUACAUUUGUCCACCAUCUCUUCCCCAAGUUCCUUCAAAUCUGGAGGAUAGCUCUCGCUAUCAGCAUCAAGGAACGCCUUCCGACAAAACAAGUCCCAUCUCUGUUUUUUCGAAAGAAGCCUCAUUUCACGGGGAAUAGUUCGAGCAUCUGCAUGCAAAGCAACAUCCUUAUAUCGAGUUGUAAGAAGUAAUCUGCUGCCGUUACUCCCAUCGGGAAAAACAUUUCCAAGGCAAUCAGGAUCGUUGCUGCUCACUUUUGCAAUAAAAUCCCAAUCGGCACACCUCCAUACAUCAUCCAGAACUAUCAAAUAUCUUUUCUCCUUCAAAUGAUCAUGAAGGAAAUCCCCCAACUCGUUCUCUCCAUACUUCUCUAUCAUUUCUGCUUGUUCUUUAGUUGGUGCAGAAACCUGGUUAAUAAUUUGCAUAUAAACCUCUCUGGGUCUACAAUCUUGGGAUACAUAAAUCCAGGCACGACAAUCUGGAAAGUGUUCCACAAUUUGUUCAUGAUUAUAGACCUUCUUGGCAAGGGUGCUUUUGCCUAUGCCGCCCAUUCCUACCAAAGAAAUCACGCGGCGCCUUUGGUCUCCUACGGUGAGCUGCUUCACUAGCUUAUCUGCCUCCUGUGUAAGGCCCACGAUGACAAGUUCUUCUGCACGAGGAGAGGAGCGUCUUAGAUCCCGCAACAUUUGACCCGAACCGCUUGUUCCUUCUCCAAUAUUUUUUAUUCCGAGAGCCUCCCGCCUAUUUGAGAUGUCCUGGAGGGUAAGUUGGAUGUCUUCAAUUUUCUUGCCAACCUUAUGGCGGUUUAUCAACUUCUUGAAGACACCCUUGAGAAAGUAGUCUGUUCUCAGGGAUUCUGCAUUCAGGAUGAACAUGUCUAUGGUGUCCUCAACAUCAUAAACCGCAUCACGGAUUUCAGAAACCCAGUUGCGCACUCUUACAUCUUCUUCUUGCUUCUUCUCCGCUUCUUCCAAGAAGCAUUUCAUGGCCCCUAGAUCUUUAUUCAGCCUCUCGACUUUCCCCCGUACCCCCUUCAAGAAAAUUGCUUCUUGAAUGAGCAUGUCACCAAACCUUUCAACCGCAAAGGAAACCACAGCCUCUGUCGCCAUUGUAGUGUUCUCUCACUGACCCUCUCUUAACUCUGGAUGGAACUGAUUCUGUCAAGAAGGAAAUACUCAAGAUUUGGAGCUAUCGAAAUUGCUUUAAUACUAGCAUGGAGCUUCCUUUGACUUUGGGAAUCAAACACCUUGAUUGGGAAUUAGAAAAAUUAUGGAGAUUGUUUGAGAUUCCCCUUCAAUCAAAGGAUGGGAAAAAGUAUUUUAAGUGAAUGGCAGAGAUGCAUGAGCUGGACUUCAUUUUGAUCAGCAAUCCUCCAUAAUAUAAUAAAUAAUAUCAUUUAUUUGCUUUCAUGUUCCCAUACAUAAUAAGUCAAUAACUGACAAUUCAACUGCCAGCCAAGAAAGCCACAACUUAAGUUCUUUUAACUUUCCACUGUAUAUUUAGAAUUAAAGUUCUAAUUAGUUCAAAAGCAAUGGAGUUGAGUAACCAUUAAUGUUACUACUAUUUUCCUAAUAUGGAUUGAAUAUAGAAAAAUAUUUGCAUUUGUUUUGUUUUGUUUUUUUCAAAUAUAUAUUGGUUCUAUACAUGCAUCUAAAACCUAUCAAAUGUGCAAAAGUGAUGAAAUUGAAAAACAAUGAGAGAAAUAACAAUGCAUAGGUCUCAAUGUGUCUACAAAGACAGGUGGAGUAGGGUCAUCGGGCCACUAGAUGGAUUCGUUUUGAUAGAAGAAAAGGUUGCUUUCCAAAUUUAUGGAAGGACAAAAUAUAGAAUCCUAACAUGUAUUUCAUUUUCAAGUAUGCUAUAAAUUAAAUAAAAUAACAUUAAAAAAUGUAGCAAAAAUAAUUAUAUUGGUCUUAUAAGUUAAUUCAAGAAGUAAGUGACAAGUAGUAAAAAAAUUGGUAGUUCAAGGGAUCUAGAGUAGAUAGAUGAAUGUAGAUACCGUGUAAAAUCCCAAGGAAGAAGUUUGCUAGUGGAGAUAGCUAACCAAAUUCCGAGAGCCAAUUUCAGACUCAAUCCAUCAAAAAUGAUCUUUAGAUCCACUAGAUUUAGGAGUCCGCUAAAUCCUAAUAUCUUCACUCGUGGAUGAAUUUCUAAUUGCAUAAGCCAUGGCAUCGCAUUUUGCCCUAUAUUCAACUUGGUCAAUCUUGUUAACUCUGAAAGUUGAAGUGCUUUGAGUUGAGGAAACCCAUUUGCAGACACUUUCAUUUCAUCUCCAAGGUAUAUGCGUCUACCCUUAAUCUAAGAAUCAACAAUUUUGGUUGUUUCUCUAAAAUAGGCAUAGGAUCACAAUCUAGCCUGGAUGCUUCCAAUGUCAAUUCUGUGAGACUUGGUGAGAAUUCAACAAUUUCAGGCAAUUUUUGUAUGUGUCCCUUUACGUCCAACUAGGAGAGAUAGUGGCAAGAGUUCAUGGCAAGGGAUGGAAUGCAGGACUCAUCUGAUGCCUUAAGGUGCAAGGAUUUAAGACUAAGUAACUUGGCAAUGGAGUUUGAAAACUUAACCCCUUCAACCUCACACCUUCCUUCUAAUUUCAAUUUCUCAAGACAAGUUAACUCAAUUGAAUUGUUUUGAAUCCAUUGGUUGAAGGUUAUGCCCGACAGAAUUUGAAGAUUUUGCAAUGUAUCAAUUUGCAGUGGAACAUCUUCCUCUUGUCCCUCGAUGUAAAGAUAUCUCAUGUUUUUCAUCUUCCAUAUCACAUUUGGCACUUGUUUAAGAUUGUUUGUCUCCAAAGUCUGCAAACUCCUCAGGUUGCCUAUAGAUGGUUGAAGCAUUUUUAGACCAGUAUGCCUUAAUCCCAAGUACCUUAAUCAGUUCCCCAAUUAUACUUGGCAGGUAUUCCAUUUCUAAACCUUCCAAAUCUAACACUCUUAAGUACUUUGCAGGAUUUGGCAAUGAAAUCUAGUUGCGAUAUUCUACAAGUUCCAUACCCCAAAUUGAAAAAUAAGAGAGAGCGAAGAUAUGGGGUUAAAUGGUCAAUGGAAGCAUACCUCUCAAUGUCAGAAUUAAUACUUUGCCUACGGGAUUUAGAUGAAUUGGUGGAGGGGGAUGGAGGAUCUCCAAUAUUAGUUCCAAUGAAGUUUUUCUCUUUUGCCUUUUCAACAGCCAACUCUCAUACAAGGUCAUGAACUCGACAUGCCAUAACCCUUGCAUUAGCACUCAUUCUCACCACUUGAAUCAAGUUUCUAUUGAUUAACUCAUUAAAGUAAACCUCGGCCAUGUCUUUCAUGCUUUGUUGAUCUUGCUCCAACACAAAACCUUCAGCAAUCCACCAAAGGAGCAGUUUUCUUGUGGAGAUCACAUAAUCUUCUGGGAAGAGGCUUAAGUGAAGAAAGCACGGUUUCAGGUAAGAGGGCAAAUCGAUGUAGCUCAAGUUCAGAACUGUCAUUACUCCCUUUUGGUCUUCUUUAGCAAGGUAUGCACUAAUGUUAUCGUGCACCUUCUUCCAUUCUAUAUGUGACAUAUUUUUCGACAGCAAACCUCCCAAUACUAUAAUGGCCAAUGGUAAACCAUUACAUUUAUCCACCAUCUCUUCCCCAAGUUCCUUCAAAUAUGGGGGAUAGCUCUCAGCAUCAACAUCAAGGAAAGCCUUCCGACAAAUCAAGUCCCAGCUCUCUCGUUUGGAAAGAAGUUGCAUUUCCUAGGGCUUAGUUCAAGCAUCCGCGUGCAAAGCAACAUCCUUAAAUCAAGUUGUAAGAAGUAAUCUGCUGCUCUUACCCCCAUCAGGGAACACAUUUCCAAGGCAAUCAGAAUUGCUGCUGCUCACUCUUGCAAGACAAUCCCAAUCGGCAUGGCUCCAGACAUCAUCUAGAACUAUCAAAUAUCUUUUCCCCUUCAAAUGAUCAUGACGGAAAUCCCCCAACUGGUUCUCUUGAAAUUUCUCCAUCAUCUCUACCUGCUCUUUAGUUGGUGUAGAAACCUGGUUAAUAAUUUGCAUAUAAACCUCUAUAGGUCUACAAUCUUGGGAUACAUAAGCCCAGGCACGACAAUCUGGAAAGUGCUGCACAACUUCUGUAUGAGUAUAGACUUUCUUGGCAAGGGUGGUUUUGCCUAUGCCGCCCAUUCCUACUAUGAAAAUCACGCGGUGGCUUUGGUCUCCUCCGAUCAGCUGCUCCACUAGCUUAAUUAUCUGCUUCUUCUUUCAGGCCCACAAUAACAUGUUCUUCUGCAUGAGGAGAGGACCGUCUAAGAUCCUGCAGCAUCUGAGCUGAAUGGCUUGUUCCGUCUCCAACAUUUUUUAUUACGAGAGCUUCCCGCCUCUUUGAGAUGUCUUGGAGGCUAUGUUGGAUGGCUUCAAUUUUCUUGCCAACAUCGUAGAGGCUCAUCAACUUUUUGAAGGCACGCUUGAGAAGGCAGUUUGUUCUCAGGGCCUCUGCAUUCAGGAUGAACAUGUUCAAUCAUUGCCUUGAUCCUUGCAAUCUGUCUUUAUAGAGUUUAAGCACAUGAUACUCUAGAAAACUUGGCAUCAAAGGGUUCUGAAGAAGGGAAUCCCUGUAAUCCAUUAACAUUCAUCAGCACAAGUUUAUUUGGAUUCCAUUCAGCUGUAUAGACCUUUACGCAUCCUUAGAGAAAAAGGGAAUCCCUUUAACCCAUUACCAAAUUGAAUUAUCAAUAACUGAAUCAUGAUAUGCGAUAACACAGAAAAUAAUUAAAAGCUUAACAUUAAUACAAGAUUAUGAAUUUCAAAUUCUUCACCACAGGCUCCUUAAUCUAGAAAAUGCGCCGUGCCAUUAAAAUGACUUAAACUGGUCUGGUUUCCACCACAAGAAGUUUUGAACUCAUUAAAAAUGAAUAAAUCCUUCUGGGAGGCAAAAAAACUGGAAAAUGAUCAAAAUCCCAACAUAACUAGUUGGCUCAUAGCUUGAUUGUAUUAUGCUUGAAGCUGAAGAAACUCCUCUCGGCCCUUUAUUUUCUUUCAGUGCAAAAACCAGUGAGAGUGAUCAAAGCAGCAACUUUCUUGGAUGUUACAGAAUUGACAAUCACAGCAAAAUCAGGACCCUGCACUACAGAAUACUAAGUUAUAAUCAUCAACACCAAAUAGAAACAUUAAUAUCUUUAUCGAAACUGCUGGGGAAACCAAAUUGUGCCACUUAAUAGCCUCACUCACAGUCAGGUGAUAUUGUAAUUUUUCAUAGAAUGUGAGAUAUUUAGGCCCUGUUUAUUUAGACUGCUAUCUGUUUUCACUUUCACAGAAAACAUGUUUGGAAUGCAUUUUUCCAUUUUCAUUUUCUGGAAAACUGAACUCAAAAAAUAGAAAAAGCCAAAACACCAAUUUGAUUUUUUCAAAAUUUUCUUAAGAAAACUGGACAAAAAAAAAAUGAAAACAAAAAAGGAAAUAAUAUCACAUAAACCUAGUGACACCUACGACAUAAGAGGAAUACAAAUGUUACAAAUAUGAAAAAAAAUAUAUUCAUAUGAAUAAAACAUUAUUUCAUAUAUAUUUGAAAUCAAAUAUUAUCUUAAAAGUAAGACUUAAAUUUUUUAUUUAUUUACUUAAUCAUGGAAUGGUAUAAGUGAAAAUAUUUUUAUAUUAAAAUAAUUUAUUUUAUUAAUAAUAACUAUAUUAAAUCUUUAUUUUAUAAAAUGAAAUGGAAAAUGAAAACCAGAAAACCUUUUUGAAACCAAACACAACCUUAGAUUGUGAUUUGUUUUCAAGGGCAGAUCUAAUGUUUCCAACUAGGACCUCCAAAUCCAAAUGUAAUCAUGAACAGAAAAAAGGAACCCCAAUAUAUAUAUAUAUAUAUUUUUUACUAUAUCACAAGGUAGAUUUAGCAUACCAAGAAUUUUCCGCACAAACAGAAAAAGGAAAAAGAGUAGGAAAAAAUAUACGAAAAGCAAGCACCGAUUAUCACUUAUGUUUGUAAUUUGAAAAUAAAAAAAUAAUAAUAAUACAAAAGGGUUUUUUAUAGGCAAAACAAAGAAGGAUCAAUUAAUAAAGAAAGUUUCUUAAUUUAUUGCUUCCAAUAGCCCCUAAAAAUUUUUGUAAGUUUUUUUAUCAUGAGUUCUUCUUUAUUACUUUUAGUCAAACUAGUGAUUAAUUUUUAAGCCCAACAGUAAGUGCAUACUUUGUUUGGGAAGCUCUGAAGAAUUGCUCCCAAUCACUGAAGCUACAGAAGAGACGAUUUUAUCAGAUGCAGCAUUCACUGGACAGUACCUUCAGAAAACCAGAACAUUCAGGCAGAGAGUACAAAACUACAUUUGACAUCCAAUAACAAAAAGUCGAUGCUAGUCAAAAUUGUGGUUCAAUCAGGUUCUGUUACGAUUGCAGGAUUUCUAUAAUGGCCUAAUCAAGGAUGAUAAUAUUGCUAACUCUUAAGGCUAUAGUAUUGCCCCAAGUUAUAGAGUUCCCAACACAUGUUGACAUGAAACAGCCCCAACUUAAGGACCUAGCAUGCACAAAUAGAGAAGAAUAAACAAAGUUCUCUAAAACCACUCCAAGAUAAAUAAAGUAUUCUACCGUUUAGCUUUGAGUGAGGUUCCAGGUAAGAGUCCCAAUGGAAAGAAAAUAUGAAUAAAAAGGUAAUUACCUAUCAAUAAAAAAAGGUAAAUAAAGAAUUUGAUUCUACCAUAUGAUUUUUUGAACUUCUUCAUUACAUUACAUUUCAAAAUGUAAAACUGCUUUUAUGUUUCAAGAUUGAACUAGAGACUUCAACUCUCAAGGUAUUGUCUAAAAAAAAUCUUCACAAUAAGGAUCAAAAAUGACAAAAUCCAGAAUGUUCUCAGUGCCUAUUCCCAAUUGGAAAGACAAAUUCGGUAUUGGUAUCUUAAGUCAAUAAACACCACUUAAACAACAAAUUUAUUAUCUACAAACUUACAUUUGCAAUGCUCAAAAAAGCUAGUCCAGGGAACCAUGCACAGUCCAAAAGAUCAUUAACGACACUAUUUGACUUACUUUUAAGGAAAGUUAAACCAUGGACUAAAACAAGAUUGGCUUCACAACCAUUACAAACAGGACAGUUCUUAACACGACUAGUUCAAUAAACAUAUGGAAAUAAUGCUCAUAUGAAUUACCGAAACAAGAUCUUUAGGAUUCAAUGCCAAGCUUGAAAGGAUAAACAAGAAGAAAUCUCAUUGAUGUUCUCAAGCACUACAAUCAGCCCAAUCCGGAAAUCGGGUGCAAAUAUCUAAAAACACCUUCAAAAAAGCAUUUUCCAAAUAUGGUAAACUUGCAACAAAAACAUUCACAAUGAAAAUUAAUCAAACAAAAAAAGCCAUAUAUAAGAAACUUAGAAGAUACUACAUAUAAUAAAAGCCAUAUAUAAGAAUAUAUAAUAAUUCAGUACGUUCGUUCAAGAGUUUCUUCAACUAAGUAGAACUCCAAGUAGAGCUCUCUACGCCGUGAAUGGAUUUCAUAUUCUGGAUGUAUCCCAAAACAACUAGUCGCCAUUAUUCGAAACUAUUCAUUGGCAAACACAAUUUGUAGUAGGGGUUUUACAAUCAUAAAUGGAUGGUGUAGCUUGAUUCAGUCAUGCUCGGUUUGCAGAGAUCAAACAUGCAUUAUAAUCCUUCUACUAUCCUCCCAUUACAAACAAUGGUAUUUGAGAAAAAGAGAGCCUAUCAAGUUUUAGCCAUCCAUGUGAUUUUUGGGCAUUAGUAUUUCACAAGUACUUGCCUGGUCUUCAUUUAACCAUGUGUGAUUAGUGGCCAUGAUGCAGCUUUCCUCUCACCACUUAUAGUAUUCUAGAAAGGCAGCUAACCCUUCGACAGCCUUCCUACAGCUCGCUGAUGUUUGACCUGUUGCAGCACAUACCUGAGUAUCACUAGUCCAACUUUUUAUGUAACUGAAGUAAACAUGCGCACAUGUACUAGGAAUCUAAUAGUAAGUAUAGGAGCUUGGGCUUCUCUCUGGCAUCGUUGUUAUGCAAAUUAAAGAACUACGAAUAAUACUUGGCCAUGAAUUACUAGGCUGGGUUGAUUGAAAUCACAUCCAACUAAGGGAAUAAAAACAUAAAUACACACCCAACAAUCAUCCAAGUAAGAGGGGGUUCCAGGCUUACCUUUUUGAUGACAUAACUGAAUUCCAUCGGAGCCGCUUCCAAUGAUUAAAGUGAAAUAAAUAGAAAACCAAAUAAGACAUGUUAGCUAAAUAAAAAGAACAAUAAAAAGAAUUUUAAAAAAAAUCAUUGUUACAAUGUUGAAGAGAUAUAAUUUGAGUUAUUUGAACUUUUUACUUUAUAUUGGAAAGUUAAUGUUAGUACUAUUUUCCUAGUAUGGAUUGGAUAUAUAAAAAAAAACAUUUGCAUUUGUUUUACUUUUUCAAUUGGUAGAUGCAAUUAAGAUUAUUACAUGUGCAAAAGUGAUGAAACUAAAAAAAUGUGUGUGUGAGAGAGAGAGAACGGCAUAGGGCUCAAUGUGUACAAAUUAAAGAGGUGGGAGUAUGGUCUUAAAGAUUCCCGACAUGUAUUUCAUUUUCAAAUAUGCUAUAAAUUUCUUUUAAAAAAAUUAUAAUUAAAAAAUGUUGUAUGAGUAAUUAUAUUGGUCUUAUAUGUUAAUUCAAGAAAUAAGUGAUAGGUAGUAAUUCUAGACUUUUAUAAACAUAUAUUCUAUCACUUUUUGAUGCUUACUGCAUUUUUUACAUUCACUCAUAUAGGAAGGGGGGGAGUGAGGAGUGAUCAAUGAUAUAUAAAAAGUUUCAGUAUAAGAACUCCUUAUAUGUUAAUUAAAUAACCAAUAUAUUGAGGUAUAACAAAAUUGGUAAUUGAAGGGAUCCAAAGUAGAGAGGUGAAAUUAGUUACCAUGUAUGAUCCCAAAGAGGAAUUCUAGCCAUUUUGGACCCGAGAACAAGCCGCAAAUAGGGAAGCGUAAUUUUUACCUCCACCAAAUUUAGCAACUCAUCAAGUCCCGAGAACUUUGUUUUAAAAUAAAAUUGUAGUUGCAUAAGCCAUGGCAUCGCGCCUUUCUCUAUAUUCAACUUCUUCAAUUCCCUCAACUCAAAAAGUUGAAGUACUUUGAGUUGAGGAAACCCAUUUGCAGAUACAUGCAUUUCCUUUCCAAGAUAUGACUUAGCCCUUAAUCUAAGAGUCAACAAUUUUGGUAGCUUCUCCAAAAAGACCAUAUGAUCACAAUCUAGCCUGGAUGCUUCCAAUGUCAAUUGUGUGAGACUUUGUGAGAAUUCAUGGAUUUCAGGGAAUUUUUGCAUGUGUCCCUUUAUGUCCAACUUAGAGAGAUGGAGGCAAGAGUUUAUGGCAAAGGGUGGAAUGUUGGACUCAUCUGAUGCCUUAAGGUACAAGGAUUUAAGACUAAGUAGCUUGGCAAUGGAGUUUAAAAACUCAACUCCUUCUACGUCACACCUUCCUUCUAAUUUCAAUUUCCCAAGACAAGUUAAGUUGCUUGAAUCGUUCUUGAUCCAUUGGUCGAAGGUUAUGCCCGAUAGAAUUUGAAGAUUUUGCAACGUAUCAAUUUGCAGUGGAACAUCUUCCUCUUGCCCCUCCAUGUAAAGAUAUCUCAUGUUUUUCAUCUUCCAUAUCACAUUUGGCACUUGUCUAAGAUUGUUUAUCUCCAAAGUCUGCAAACUCCUCAGGUUGCCUAUAGAUGGUGGAAGCAUUUUUAGACCAGUAUGCCUUAAUCCCAAGUACCUUAAAUGAAUCAGUUCCCCAAUUAUACUGGGUAGGCAUUCAAUUUCUAAACCUUCCAAAUCUAACACUCUAAGCACUUUGAAGCAUUUGGCAAUGAAAUCUAGUUGUGAUGCUCUACAAUUUUUCCCCAAAUUGAAAAAUAAGAGAGAACGAAGAUAUGGAGUUAAAUGUUCAAUGGAAGCAUAACUCUCAAAGUCAGAAUAAAUACUUCGACGGCGGGAUUUAGGUGAAAAGAGAGAUAAACUGGUGGAGGGGGAUAGAGGAUCUGCGAUAUUAGUUCCAAUGAAGUUUUGCUCUUUUGCCUUUUCAAUGGCCAACUCUCGUACAAGGUCAUGAACCUGACAUUUCGUAACCCUUGCAUUAACACUCCUUCUCACUACUUGAAUCAAAUUUCUAUUGCUUAACUCAUUCAAGUAAACCUCAGCCAUGUCUUUCAUUCUUCCGUCAUCUUGUUCUGGCACAAAACCCUCAGCAGUCCAUAAAAGGAGCAGUUUUCUUGAGGAGAUCAAAUAAUCUUCUGGGAAGUGGCUUAAAUGAAGAAAGCACGGUUUCAAGUAAUGGGGCAAGUCGAUGUAGCUCAGGUUUAGCAUUGCCAUUACUCCCAUUUGGCCUUCUUUAGCAAGGUAUGCACUAAUGUUAUCAUGCACUUGCUUCCAUUCUGUAUGUGACAUAUUUCUUGACAGCAAACCCCCCAAUACAACGAUGGCCAAUGGCAAACCAUUACAUUUGUCCACCAUCUCUUCCCCAAGUUCCUUCAAAUCUGGAGGAUAUCUCUCGCUAUCAGUAUCAAGGAACGCCUUCCGAAAAAACAAGUUCCAGCUCUGUUGUUUGGAUAGAAGCCGCAUUUCAUGGGGAAUAGUUCGAGCAUCUGCAUGCAAAGCAACAUCCUUAUAUCGAGUUGUAAGAAGUAAUCUGCUGCCGUUACUCCCAUCGGGAAAAACAUUUCCAGGGCAAUCAGGAUCGUUGCUGCUCACUUUUGCAAGAAAAUCCCAAUCGGCACAGGUCCAUACGUCAUCCAGAACUAUCAAAUAUCUUUUCUCCUUCAAAUGAUCAUGAAGGAAAUCCCCCAACUCGUUCUCUCCAUACUUCUCUAUCAUUUCUGCUUGCUCUUUAGUUGGUGCAGAAACCUGGUUAAUAAUUUGCAUAUAAGCCUCUCUGGGUCUACAAUCUUGGGAUACAUAAAUCCAGGCACGACAAUCUGGAAAGUGUUUCACAAUUUUUUCAUGAUUAUAGACCUUCUUGGCAAGGGUGGUUUUGCCUAUGCCGCCCAUUCCUACCAUAGAAAUCACGCGGCGCCUUUGGUCUCCUACGGUGAGCUGCUUCACUAGCUUAUCUGCCUCCUGUGUAAGGCCCACGAUGACACGUUCUUCUGCACGAGGAGAGGAGCGUCUUAGAUCCUGCAACAUUUGACCCGAACCGCUUGUUCCUUCUCCAAUAUUUUUUAUUCCGAGAGCCUCCCGCCUAUUUGAGAUGUAUUGGAGGGUAAGUUGGAUGUCUUCAAUUUUCUUGCCAACCUUAUGGCGGUUUAUCAACUUCUUGAAGACACGCUUGUGAAAGUAGUCUGUUCUCAGGGACUCUGCAUUCAGGAUGAACAUGUCUAUGAUGUCCUCAACAUCAUAAACCGCAUCACGGAUUUCAGAAACCCAGUUGCGCACUCUUAAAUCUUCUUCUUGCUUUAUCUCCGCUUCUUCCAAGAAGCAUUUCAUGGCCCCUAGAUCUUUCUUCAGCCUCUCGACUUUCCCCCGUACCCCCUUCAAGAAAAUUGCUUCUUGAAUGAGCAUGUCACCGAACCUUUUAAUCGCAAAGGAAACCACAACCUCUGUCGCCAUUGUAGUGUUCUCUCACUGACCUUCCCUUAACUCUGGAUGGAACUGAUUCUCUCAAGAAGGAAAUACUCAAGUUUUGGAUAAUCUUUAGGAGUAAUGGCAAGAGGCAAGAGCUUAUAACGUUGAUGAAGGUAUCUUGAUAUGCAAAACCAUUACAUUAUAGUGCUUUUGUUAUUUGGUGGAGAGGACUGAGAAGAGUAUUUUAUGUAAAUGCCAGAUAUGCAUGACCUGGACUUGAUUUCGAUCCACCAACGACCAAUAAUAUGAAAGCAAUAUAUCAGCUAAUAGCUUCUAAAUAUCAUUUAGUUAAUUCGGCAAUACAUAAUUUAGAAGUUGAAAUUCAGCUAGCAGCCAAGAAGUCUCGAACCUGCUAUUUAUAAUGUAGAAUUUGUUCAUCCAAUAUUAGUCUAUCUUAUCCCUUAUGUUUUUACUUUUUAUCAUCUUUCAAAUGUGUUAGGUGUUGAAAAAAAUGUACCAAAGGUUUUAUAAUUAAUGGCCUCUCACAUUCAUGGUGGUAAAAAUCAAAACAAUUUUACUACAGUUCUAUCUAAUUCUUAUCAUUUGCUUGGCAAGAAGAAAGAGUUUACUUUGAUCAGGUCUUCUCAUUAAUUAGACCAAGUCAAGCAAACAAUAGGAUAAGUAAAGCUAACUCAUAAAGUUUGCUCUCAAUUCAUGCUUCUACUUUCAUACACUUUCAUAAUUUAAAUCUCAUGGACCCAUUUUUUUAAUGUGUAAAUAUAUAAUUUAGAGUCUAUACGAUCUUAAAGUCUAAAGGUUCUGUUGGACAAUUAUUUUUUAAAACAAAUUUUUUGUUUUUCAAAACAAAAAAAAAAAGA